UCUUCUUCCCUUCUUUUUUGCUGUCAUUGUCUUUUUCCUCAUCCUUUUUCUUCUCCUUCUCAUCAUCAUCACCCUUGUGUUCCUUUUUUUUCUCCUCCACAUCUUUCUGCUUCUUCCCUUCUUUUUUGUUGUCAUCGUCUUUUUCCUCAUCCAUUUUCUUCUCCUUCUCAUCAUCAUCACCCUUGUGUUUCUUCCUUUUCUCCUCCACAUCUUUCUUCUUCUUCCCUUCUUUUUUAAUGUCAUCAACCUUUUCCUCAUCAUUUUUCUUCUCUGUUCCAUCAUCAUCAUUCUCAUGUUCCUUCCCUUUCUUCUCUUUCUUCUUCUUCUUCUUCUUAUUCUCUUCUUUUUCCUCAUCCACAUUAUCCGCAUCCUCCUCUUUUUUAUCUGUGUCCUUCCUUUUCUCUUCAUCUUCUUUCACCUUGACCUGAUCCUUCUUUUCCUUCUUCGACUCUUUUUCAUCCAUAUCUUUCUCUUUGUGUUUAUAAUCAUCCUUGCCUUCAAUCUCUUCUUCCCCUUCAUCUAAAUCUUUACCCUUUUCCUUCUUCUCUUUUUUAUUUUUCUUCUUUUUAUCUUUUUCCUCCCCCUCUCUAUCAUCUUCUUUAUCUUCUGAGCCUAUAAUAUCUUUGUUCUUCUCCUUUUUCUUCUUCUUCUCUUCCUUGUCCUUCUUUUUAUCCCCGUUGCUCUGUUUCUCUUCCUCGUCCUUCUCUUUGCCACUCUUGUUUUUUUUCUUCUUUUCCUUCUUGGUUAUGUCUUUCUCCUUCUUCUUUGAUUUCUCCUCAUCUUUAUCAAUAUGUUUCUCCUCAUCCUUUUUAUGUUUUGGCUUCUCUUUUACCACUGACUUGGUCUUUAAUUCAAGUUCCACCUCAGCCUUCUCCUUCUUUAAUUCACCUGGUUGUGCAUCCUUGGUCUUGACCACUACAUGGGAUUCUUCCUUUUCAACCCUUUCUUCCCCUGGAUGUUCAAUUUUGUCUUCCAUCUCCAGAUUAUAUCCUAAAAUUUUAAAUGUAAAACUGUUUCCUCUGGACCUGAGAUUACCCGAAACAAAUGUAAAUGUAAGACGAGUAAUCUGAGAACAAAUGCAGUAGAAUAUGAAAAUCCUAAUACUUGGUGAAUUAUAAAAUCUCAUAAUUAACAAGAACAAGAAAAGCCAUUGUGUUUGCCUAAAUAAGAAUAAAUUGUUUACGUUUAGAGCUCUGUAGUCAGCACAUCACAGCCAAUGCUUAAACAAUUGGAAGAUUACAAAUAUUUCAUCUACAUGUUUUACUAUAAAAAUGCAAGCUAAUGAAACUUAUAUUCCUUUCUUCAAUCCUCAUGAAAAAUCGACCCAAAGAGUCUGCUGGCGAAGUGGAUACGGUUGAACAACGCCGUCAGGGCGGCCCCAUUGAUCGGCCCGAUGCCGCAGAUGCCGGUCCAUGUACUAAUUAAAAUAAAUAUUUAAGCUUCAAAAUAUGCAGUUUUGACUGAUCACUGCUAGAAAGUUAUAUCAAAUGUCUCGUCUUUUUCGUAUAUAGUUCCUAGAAUAUUACUAGAGUAGAGACUGACUAUCAAUUUUGGUGUGCAAAACUGACAACUUGAAAAGGUAUGGAGGAUGGAUCUCAAGCAAUGAAAAAUUUCAAAGAUGUGAAAUUCAAUAGGACUGCAAGAUUGGAUUAUAGACCAUAGACCUCAUUACAUUCUGCUUUGUUGCACACACUAGUUCCUGAAAGCAAAAGUAAGGCUCUCCCCAGACAAAAGGGGAUUCUUUCAUCUACUAUGAUAUGAUUGGUUCUGAGGAAAAACUAUCACUCUAUCCAAGUUUGCUACAAACAGGAAUUUUGAGGCUUGUCUAGUCUACAAAAUAUCUUAGCAAAAGCAUUAGAAUCCCGUGGAAAGCCGUGUUCGAUGACAGUCGUAUGUAUGGGUUGGAGAGAUUAAUUUCAGCUGAUUCUGUUAUAGCCUAUAAUCUUUAAACAUUAGGGGGUUUCUUCCAAAUUGACUUUUAUUUUUGAUUUUCAACACAAAACACAUUUUGGUCCUUCACUGCUAUAUAUUUUUUUCUAAACAACGGUUUGAGUACAGAAUACGUACAGUAUUUGAUAACUUUUUCUCUACAUUCCCAAUACACAAAGUAAGUAAAUAAUUUGAUAAAAUCAAACUGAACUGAUAAAAGAAAGAAGAAAAAAAAGAAGCCAUUUACAGAUUCAAGAGAGAGACAGUGAGAGUGCACUUGAAUAGUAAGGAAUUAAGGAUCUGUCCUCAACUAUCUAAUUGCGUGCUUAAAUUGUGAAACCAGUAAGUAAACAAACCAAGAUGAACACAUCAAGUAAAAGCAACAACGACAAAACUUCAUUUCUCAUUCACAAUUCCAAAGACAAAGUAGCAGCAGCUAUAGACAUAUAGUGAUUUGCAAGAAAAAUUGGCAACAACUCCAAUUCUGUGUGUACCUUAAUUUGUGUUUCCCCAAAGGAAAAGAAGAAACCGAUACAGAUUGCUGUGUUGUGUUUGUAAGUAACAGUGAGAGAGAGAGAGAGAGAGAGAGAGAGAGAGCGAGAGAGCCUGUGGUUUUGCAGGUUAGCUUAGAGUGUGAAGAGUGGUGUGGCUAUUUGUUUUGUAUAUAUAUCCUAUUAGGAAUGAAGGCUGUUUGGGCAUUGAUUACUUCACAGAUAGCCACCUGUCAGUCUUUUCGUCAACACGGAAAGGACCGAAAUUUUACACGGACGGACCUUAAACCUUUGCGUACGUAUCCAUGGUUGUCUUUAACUCCCUCCUUCCUACGUCGGUUCUUUCUUCUCCAACACUUGCGACACCUGCGACUUGACAAAUAUCACACUUCUGACGCGGUUUAUUGGAAGUUUUAUUUCAUUAUUUACUGUCGUCCCCUUGAAACUGAGUGAUCCAUUUUACUCUCCUACCCGACCAACCAUUUUUUUACCUACUCUUAACUUCAUCCAGAAAUAUAUUAAUUUUGAUGAUGUGACAUGAAUAUUUUGAUAAAUUUGCACAAUUGAACCAAUUACUUGUCAAAUUCAGUGACUUAUCUAGCAAACUAGAGCCUACGUGUUGAAUGUAGCUUUUGCUUGCGUAAUUUUGCCCCAAAUUGGGGAGAUGAUGAUGAAAUUGGCCCUACUUGUGAGUGGUUAUAGUGUAAUACGGUAGUACGGUCAUGUUGUAUAACUUGUGUUGUGCUUUUUCACUGUGAAAUUCAAAGUUAACCACACCAUAAUAUAAACCACACUUGGAUAGAAUAAUAUAAACAAGAAAUAAAAAUAUUGUACAAGAGAUUGACAAGGUUUGGCAAAAUAAUGCCUACAUGCCCGAAUAGAGUACUUCACUAUGAGAAUACUAACAGUAUAAGAUACACUUGAGUUAAAUCAACAUAACCCAAACCCAAAACCCUUGUACACCCACUUACAAUGUUUACCAAGAACUCUAUCUCUCACCCACAUAUUUCUCCCUGUUUUUCACUCUCUCUGCGCUCUCUAACUUUCUCACGGAAUGCAACCAACACAAAACAAGCUACACUUCUAUUUAUAUAGAAGCCUUGAGUGGGCACCAAGCUAGGGGGAAGCGUCUGCAACAAGCUUCCUUCAAUAUGAAGACUUUACCUCCUCACAACUUUUACCAAAGCCAUCAUUGCAUGAAACUACCACUUGAUGCACUGCCUAUUAGCUACACCAAAAGUCAAAGAUUGCUACACUAUAUUUACCUUGUAGCUUAUCCCACACUUUUAACUUGUGGGUCCAAUUAUCAUAAUAUUUACACCAAUUUUAACAAUCUCCACCUUGGUGAAAAUGCCAUGCAAAACUCGGAGCAUCACUAAGAAUAAUUAAACCAUUGGCCUUCACAAAACACACCAGCUACACAUCACAUAAAUCAACAAAUUUGGCCCAAUCCCGAUUCAUGUUACACGACUAUUGAUGCUCAAAAUGGCUCGGCCAAUGUUGAGUCCAACUUAGUGAUGAGGUGUGUGGAGUCUUCAGUAGAGAAGAAGGCUAAGGCCUUUGAUAAGGGGGGAACCUGCAGAAGACAAAAUGGGAGAAGCAAUCGUUAAGCUUUGGACACCGGUGUGGUGCCGGCCAAAGGCUCUCCUAUGCUUAAGCCAGCUAUAAGUGGUAAUUUUGGCAAAGUAACAAUAAAGGUGAGAAAGUAGAUACCCUUUUUACUUGGGUACUGUUCCCUAUUUAUAAGGAGGUGAAAGUGGGAGGUUUGCACAAAGUUUCAAUGUGGGACUUUGUGCAAGUCGUCGUGGUGGCGACACGUGUCCUAGGGAUUAGGUUUGGCAAUUAGGAGCUUCGGCAGGUGUCUGGCACAUCGGAAGUGUGUCUUCCUUUGGCAAGGAAGAAGGCGUGGCUGUCUUGGUGCUAGUCGCUUUGAGGCUGAGUAUGCUCGAUUGAUUAUGGUGUAAACAGUAGUCCCCCAAGUUUGAGGUCAAGAAGUAACUUCUGGGUUGGGAACUUGUGAGUUUUCGUGACCGAGCAUUCCAGCUUUAGUGGGAGCCGUAAGGCAUUCCCUAAUCCCCCAAGUUGACAAGCUAGAAGUUGCGGCAACACUUGGUAGCUGUGUGAGCUUCUAGGACUAUUUGGUAGCUGGGUACCCAAGUUUUUGGCAAGGAAGCUGGGUCUGGGGCCUUGAAUGAUGAGCCCUUAUUCUUCUUGCAAUGCCUACUGUUCGGCAGGCUUCCUUCUUCUUAUUUUUUUAUUUUUUUUAUUUUUUUAUUAUUUAAGUCUUGGGCCUUGGAAAUUGAGUGCAUCAGCAAGGGAGUGGCUCGUGGGCCUCCAGGUGUUAGAGCGGGUUGUGACCAUGUCUUGACUUUGGGAGGAAAGGGGGUGGGCCUUUUUUGUUUCGGCAGCGUAGCUGGGCCACUUUUGGGCCUAGGCAGGGCCUUAGGGUCUAGAAUUUAGAGAGGCAUUCAGCACCAUGGGCCUAUGGAUUAAUUCGAAAGGACCUGGGGUCUUUUUUCUUAGAGUGGGCUGAGCCACGGAGAUAUUUGUUGGGGCUAGGGUUAAGAUUUGUGAGAGGGGUGUAAAUAAGUUUCUAUAGCUCUUGCCGUUCGGCAAGAAAUAGCUGGGACCUUUUUGUAGCUGGGUCUGGCAGUAUCCCUUCGGCAAGGACCUUCUUUCGGCAAUUGGAGCUCUUCUUUCCUUCGGCAAGGGUGUUGGGUUCCAAGGCAAGGUUAAGCUGGGUUUUGGGGGUUCUUGCCGAUCGGCAAGGUUGUUUUCGAAGGAGUUGGUCCUUCAGCAGUCGGGCACUUCAUUGAAGUUUCGGUAGGAGGGUGAAGCCGGGCUGCAUGGGUAUUUCGGUAAGAAUUGGUUUUGCUACAGCAGCUUUUGUGGGCGCGCAUUGGAUAGUUUGGCAGCAGUCCCUGCCAAACGGCAGGGUUGGCAUGAGUUUUGUUGAAAGGUUCGUGAGCUAAAGAGGGUGAACUAUUCGUGUGGCUACGAUUCCAGCAUAGCUUCGGCAAGGUAACAUUCUUGCGUCCCUGUUUUUUGUUCGUUCUCGGACCUUGCCGUUCGGUAAGCUUGACUUUGAGCCUUGAUUAUUGCUUUCCAAGCUUCAGCAAGACAGUGGGGUCGGCAAGGGUGUCCAGAGUAAAUUUAAAUUGUUUGUGUUUAAAGGGUGGGGCUGGGCAUAAGUUGGAGUCGGGCCCUUUGUGGUGGCACGGAUUUGAACUGGGUCACCAUAGCUUCGGUAGCAACUGGGCUAUAUGACCCGGGUCUAUUAAGGUACGCAUUUUUUCGCAGCUCCUCCUUUUGGUUUGUUCAUCCCUUGCCGUUCGGCAAUGGGGGGUUGAGAGAUUUAUUUUGCUGUUUUUUAUGUUUAGCAAUUUGUGAAAUCGAAAAAAUUUGGUGUCGGCAGAAGUGCUUGGCUAGGCUACACGAACCGAGCGAGGUGCUGAAGUGUGAGAAGGGACUUGAGGACUUAGAGCUGGGUCUUGUGAAGGUAAAAUAUAUAUAUAUAUUUUUUUUGGCAGAGCUGGGCUCGUGGGUUAGAGCUGGGGUCUUUGAUUUGUGAGCUGUGGUAAGCUUGGGCCUGCCAGGUUGUGCUGGGGUGAGCUUGGUCCUUCAUGCUAGUUCCUCACUUGUUAUAAAGAACCUAAAUUGCUUUGAUGGUUGUUUGACUUUGCAGCAGGGGAUGUAGACUUGCUGUGAAUUUCGUGGGUUUCUAAAUAAUUCUGCACGGCCCUUGCCAUUUGGCAAGGCAUAAGGAAUUUGCUGAGUCUUGACUCGGCGAGAGUGCUUUUGUCGUAGCUUCACCGUUGUAUCUGGGAGCUAGGCCCUUGGAUUUAUGUCAAGAACUUUGGCAAGAUAGGCCCAAGAGGUAUUGGAGCUAGGCCAUUGGCGUGUUGGUGGUGCCUAAUCCCUUAACAAGAGCAAGACCACCCUUACGUACGUGUCUUCGGGUGUUUUAGUGUAGGUGAGUUUGGAGCUGGGCCUCUUCGGUCGCCACUUGGUAGCUGGGCCUUGAUUUCGGUAAAGGUAAGAAUUUUAUGACCUCCCAAAAUAAGUUUUCAUGGGACUUGCCCAUUUCGAAAUGGUGGUAACUUUGGUUUUUGUAGGCUUGAAGGGCUUGGUUUCGGAGCUUGGUUUGAGCUUGUAACUUCUUUCAAGAGGCUAGGCCUCUCGAUUUUUGUUUUUUGAACCUUGGUGGGCGUUUAGCUGGGUCCCGAAGGUUUAGGCAAUAGCCGGGGUGUCUUGGGGCUUCGGCAAGACAAGGAAGAAAUCGGAGCUGAGCCUUUAGAGCUAGGCCUGCGUCAGAGCUGGGUCAUUAGACUCUUGGCAAGAGCUGGGCUUCUUAAAGCUAGGGCACGGAUUUUGUUGCUUUACUUUUAGAAAAAAGGUGAAUGGUAAGCCCUCCCGUUUUACUUCCACGGGUCUUGCCUUUCGGCAAGGUCCCUUUGAAAUCUCUUCGCUGCUUUUUUUUGUUUAAAAUAUGAAUUUCAAAUUAUGUGUAGGUACAAGAAAUUUGAGGGGAAGUGAGGGGGUGCUAGGGUUUUCUCAUGAACCGAGGCGUGGGUACCCUUGGUUCGUUAUAAAUAGGAACUUGGGGUGGCUAAGGCACUACACCUGAGUUUUGGAGAAAAAGUGCUAGAAAGUGAGAAGGAGAAGAAGAUUUCCGCCGAGGUUUGGUGGUGGUGCUUGUGGCCAAGGUGAUUUCCGGCGAUUCUUUCGUGGUGGUGCAAACAAGGUUAGGCCCUGUUUCUUUGAAAAUUUUGAAUUGAAAUGUCUUUCUUUGUAUGAACAUGUUGAAGGCUAGGAAGAACACCUUGAAUAUGAGCAUGAACAUGAUGAACACGUUGAACAUUGAGAUGAACAUGUUGAGUGCCUGUUUGUAAACCAAAAGACAUGUAGAUUAUCCAUCUUUUUAUGUUGUUGUGUUUCAAUCCUCCUUGCAUGUGCAUUAGUUCCUUUUUCUUAUUUUUGCAUAUUGUAGAUGUCUGAAAAUUCUGAUAGAGAAAGUCAUGAACCCCCUGCUUUUGGUGGGGAUGAUACUAAGAGUGAAGAGCCCAUCCAAUAUAUUUGUUAUGAAGAGGAGAGUUUAGAGACAGAGGGUGUGGUAGAAGGUAUUAUAGAAAGUAGGGUGGUAGGGCAUGAGGGUGAGGGGGGUGAGCCAUCAGUAGACUCCGGGUCAGCUGCAUAUAGGGAGAUGUAGAGGAACUAUAUAGAGUUAGAGGCUAUAGCGAACCGAGUUCUAGCCUUGCCUCAUACGCUAGAGGUGGGUUCGAGCAACCAGGCAUCACCAUCGGGGUCCGUGAGUAUAGCCGUGGCCUCAGUUUCAGAGGGAGUGGACAUUCGGGUUGGUGUCCUUUUGGUGAGGCGGAACACCCUUACAGAAGCAAAGUUGGCCCAGCUUCGGACAAACUAUUGUGUUCCACCCUAUGUGGGCUUGAGGUUACCCACUGCAGCUGAUGUGAUUAGAUAUCCUUCGAAUGGCUCUGUGAUGAUUUUUACGGAUAUGUACUGGCAUGGCUUCAGACUACCAUUUCAUCCAUGGGUGCAGAUGACGUUGGCUAAGUUGGGAUAUGCGCCGGGGCAGUAUAAUCCCAACAUUUGGAUUCUUCUUUAUGGAGUUUACAUCGCUUGGUGGCUGGGUGGGUUGAGGGAGCCAACAUUUGAGCAGUUCAUGUACUUGUACUCGGUUUCGAAACAACAGGGAAGUUUUGGCUGGGCACAGGCCAAUUGCCGAAAGGCGAUGGGUUAUUUUAUUAGUCGCAAGCCAUCUACGCAAAAGUCUUGGAGGAACAAGUGGUGCAUGGUUCAUGGUGACUAGGAGUGUCCGCCAGGGAAGACCUUUACCCAACACAUUCCUACCCACUUCCAGUCUAUAGGUCCUUGGCCCCAUCCCUUAAGACUGUUUGGUGUUUGAUUUUCUUUUUCCUGUUCUCACUCUUGGUUCUUUAUUUUUACGUGUGCAAGUGUAAAUGACUAAGUAGUAUCUAACCUUUGGUGUAGAUUUGGUGAAGUGGGGGCCUAUCUCCAAGGAGCAAGAAGACUAUGUUGAGAGGGUGAGGUCACAGUUAUCAGAGACCGAGAGUGAGUGCCAAAACCUAGUCACCCAAAAAAAUUUGUUGGAGUCUAGACUUCUGCAAGGAAGUAAGUACCUGGGUCACUUUUGUUGUUUGUCUUCUGAUUCCCUUGUGGUUGCGACUAACAUAGUUUUGUUAUUUUUGAUGUGCAGUGGCGGGUAUUAUAAAAGGGAGCACGAAGGUGGUAGUAGAUAUUGAUGAUGCCGAGAUACAGAAGCGGCUAAGGGAGUCUCAGGCCAAGAAGGCGGAGCAGGGGACUGGGAAGCACCCUAGAGAUAAUGAUGAGUGCCGGGUUGUUGACAUGUUGGGAAAGAGGAAGGCCUUGGAGGAAGCUUAUCAGCAUGUGAUGGGGGCGGGACCGAGACUUCCUCCCUUUGAUCUGCAGGCGCCGCCGAAGCUCCCCUUUGGCAUGGAGGACAUUUUUGCUGAAGGGGUGGAGAAUGUGGACUUCGGCAAACUACGUUAGUAGAAGGAGGUGAACUUAGCCAUGCAUCGGCAGGAGGUGCCCCUGGUGAACGUCUUCCUAGAAGGCAUGAAGAGUGACCCCAAGGCCCUGGCGAGGACCCCGGCCUCUUCCUAUAUAAAUCGGGCCUAGAAGACGAUCCUCACUUCUGCCUAUGUAAGUUGUGACUUUGUUUGUGAAUUUUUUUGUAUCAUUCUUGUUUGGUCUGACUGAUGUUGUUUUGUUUUGCAGGCCUUUGCGAGAUGUAUGUCAGCAUGGCCAAGGUAGAUAAAGAGAUCCAGAGGCUGAAGAGGCGUGAUGAGAUGGCUAAGAGCAAAAUGGCGGAGGUGCAGGAGGCCAUCCGGGAGAAAAACACCCUGCUGUUGCAAAAGGCGGCCCUAGCCAAGGAGGUGGAGGAGCUAAAGCGGUCGAAGGCCGAGGAGGUAGCUGCUGCCCGAGUCAAAGCGAUCGAGUCGUUCCGAACUUUAGAAGAGCUGAAGAGUUAGAUCAUGGACCAACUAGUGGAUGAGCAGCUUCACUUAAAGGAUAGGCUGGUUAGGUUCAACCCCUCGGUUGAGAUUAACUUUGAUACGAGUGGCGAGCCUCCUGCACCUAGUCCCACUACGGAUGCUACUGCUCUGACGCCAGAGGUAGAGCCAGCCACUGGGGAUGCCUCCUCUACUGAGUCUUGAAGGCGUUGCCUUCUUUAUGUAUUCUAGCUACCAUGUUGGAACACUUGAUGUUUAUUUUUGCUUUGUAUGAACAUGUUGCCUUGUGUGAAGCAAGGUUAUUUUGAUUUCCUAUGAUAUGAGACUUGUUGUCAUAUGGUAUCAGUUGUGCUAGCAAAAUGAUAAUUAUGUGAGUCAUAGGAAUUAGCCAGAGUCAGGCGUUUCAUUCAAAUAAGUGCCGAAAGGCAGAUGGUACAAGAGUUGGUUGAGUCAAGGCUCAAGACCGAAGUAUAAGAGAACAUAUUGUCCUAGGGUCUAGGUAUGUUUACUUAUAGUAGUACUUGAGGUGAUUAGCGUUCCAAGGAUGAGGCAACGUCUUGCCCUUGGGAUUACGAAGCUAAUAAGUGCCGGGAUGACAGAUUUUGAUAAUCUCAUAAGGACCUUCCCAUGUGGGGCCUAAGGUACCUUCAGUAGGAUUUUUGGUGGCCAAGGAAACCUUGCGCAUGACCCAGUCCCCCAUUUUGAAAGCACGGGGCUUGACUCGGGAGUCGUAGUAUUUGGCGAUGCGCUGUUUGUAUGCGACAUUGCACAUGUUGGAUUGGUUACGGAGCUCUUCAAUGAAGUCGAGGUUUAGGGCUAACUGCUCGUCAUUGGCCUUGGCAUCAUAAGUGGAGGUUCGGUAUGUGGGCUAGCCAAUCUCCACUAGUGCCACGGCUUCGGUACCAAAUGAAAGAGAGAACGGUGUUUCUCCUGUGGAGGUACAGAAGGUGGUGCGGUAGGACCAGAGAAUCUCUAGAAGUAGCUCUGGCCAGCAGCCUUUGGCUUUGUCAAGUUUGGUCUUUAGGGUCUUCUUGAUAAUUUUGUUCACGGCUUCGACCUGGCCAUUGGACUAAGGAUGGGCUGGUGAUAAGUCCAUAAAUAUACUCAUUUAUGUACUCUUUUUACUUUGGUUUUGUAAGAGAAUUAGAUUUAAAAAGGGCUUAUUACUUUAUUUUUCUGAUUUUCAGCUUUUCUGCGCUCUUAGAAGGUUUUUAAGGGAAAAUCAACUUUUCGGAGGAAUUUUAGCGCAAGACCAAUUGGAGAUGAAAGCUAACAUCUUGAAGUUCAAUCUAUGAUUUUUCUAGAAUUUUCUACCAAGCCAAUUGGUACAGUAUUGCAAGUAAAGUUAGCCCACGUGCAGACAGGACAGUUUCGUACAUGUUACGUGAAUGUGAAGAAACGGAAGCCUUUCCGAAUUUUUCAAGUUACGUGCUAUAUAUGGUUGGAAAGAUAAGACAUUUAUCUUUCUAAAAUAUAUUUUUAAUAAUUUUUCUACAAGGUCGAAGAUCCCCAAAUCGUGUGAACAUUGGGCUGAGCUGUAUUUCCCAGUGGAGUUAGGAAUUGUGAUUUUUACUUUCCUAUUUGGAUUCCUUGUUUACCAAGACUUCUUGGACGACUUUUCAGUCAAUUUUAGGGUUUAGAACUCUGAUAUAAGUGAUAUAAAAGAUGAGCCAAGGCCUGAAGAAAAGCAUUCACGUCCUAAAGAGAUCAACGGCGCAAGAGGAGAAAGCUGCGAACGAGUUCUUUCUUUUCCUUCCUUCUUUUAAUUUUCAGUUCUUAUGUAUUUAUUUUUGAGUUCAUCCAAGACCAUGUGUAACUAAUUUCUUGUUAGUUAGGGCUUAAUCUUGAAGCCCUAAAUAUGAUUUCAAUUUUAUAAACAAGUUUAAUAGAUUUUUAGUUUCUACAAGCGUGAUGAUUUCGGUUUCUCUAUGUUAUGUGAAUUCUGAUAUUUUGUUUCUUUGAGUAGCUAACUUAGAAGCAUGUAUUGGAAUUAAAUUGUUGUAGAACAUAGGUCAAUUGCCAUAUUGAAUGUGUUCUUGUUUGCAACGAAUAAUUGGGUUAAGAACUAGUUAUGAGAAAUCGAUUCUUGAAUUCCUAAUAACAAAUGCCAUGUUUUAGGGUUUCUGUGACACUCAUAUUCUCUUUGAUCUUAAUGGAUUCUUGAUUGUUAAUUUGAGUAAAUGCCAUACUAAAUUUCAAUUAAGAAUACACGUAUUGAUGUAAAUGCCAUACACUUUACAUACACUUAAGAGAGAAUCAUACAACUCGAGUCAAAUGCCAUGAUCUUGUUGUGAGUGUCGUCAUCAUAUGCUUGCUAGAAAUUGAUUAUCUAUUGUUGUUUAUGGAUUGAUUGAUUGUUUGGAGGUGGAUAGUAAGUCCUAGCUAUUGUUCUUGAUUAAUUUUAAACAAAUUUCUCUUAAACUCUAAUUUAAAUUCUCUUUUGUUUCCUUUUCCUUAUUUUGUUUGAUUCAUAAAAACAAAUCAAAACCCCCCUUGGUGUUGGCGUGUGUUUGGAAGUCCUUUGUUUUGAUUUUCAUUGCGUGACAUUGAUAAACAUCUCUUUAGAUCACAAUCUCCGUGGGAUCGACCCUUGCUUGCUUACUAUACUAUCAUUUGAUUAGUGCACUUGCAAGGUUUUAAUAUUGUUGUUAAAAUUUACCAACAGCUGGGGAGGCGAAGCAAAGACGGAUCUUGAGGUUAGAACAAAAUUGUUUGAAUUUGUAUUGUCAAAUUGCCGGCCAUUGUCUGUGACGAUGGUGUUGGGGAUGUCAAAGCGACAUAUGAUAUUUUGCCACACAAAGGUUUCGAUGUGGGUUGCAGUGAUGGUGGCUAAGGCUUCGGCUUCAGCCUAUUUGGUGAAGUAGUCUACGGUUACAACUGCAUACUUGACUUGGCCCUUGCCCUCAUGCAUCAGUCCAAUGAGGUCCAGUCCCCAUUGGGCAAAUGGCCAAGGACUGACCAUGGCUGUCAAUGGUUCAGCUGGAAGUUGUAGGAUAUUGGCAAAUCUUUGACACUUGUCACGUUUCUGGGUGAAGGCCUGGGCAUCAGCGUGGAGUGAGGGCUAGAAGUAUCCUUGGUGAAUUGCCUUAUGAGCCAGUGAGCAUGUGCCUGAGUGGUUGCCGCAGAUGCCUUCAUGAAUUUCCCGAAGGACAUAAUGACCUUCCUCUAGAGUCAGACAUCGGAGGUAGGGAAGGCUGAAACCCCGCUUGUAUAGGGAGCCGUUAAUGAUCAAGUAUCGGGCAGAACGAUAGCGAACGCGUUGUGCCUCAGCAGAAUUAGCCAGUAGUGUUUGGUUCUGCAAAAACUGAAGAAUGGGGUCCAUCCAUGUAGGGCUAUGAUCAAUGGUACAGAUGAGUGGGGCUUGUGUAUUGGGCUGGUCCAAGAAUUCGAUGUGGAUGUGGCGACCUAUGCCCUGCUCCAAGGCUGAUGCUAACCUGGCCAACACAUCAGCAUGGCUGUUCUCAGAGCGUGGCACUUGGCUUAUAAGAUGAGCGUCGAAGGUUGCAAGCAACUGUCGGGUAUGCUGGAGGUAAGCUGUCAUAGAGGCGUCCUUGACCGUGAAGUCCUGGUUGACUUGAUGGACAACGAGCAGUGAAUCGCUAAAUAUCUGAAUUUGUUUGGUGUCCAUCCUCUUGGCUAGUCGAAGGCCAACUAAGAGUGCUUCGUAUUCGGCCUCAUUGUUGGAGGUGUGGAAUUUGAAGUGGAGGGCAUACUCCAAGGCAACCUUGUCUGGGGAGAUGAGAACGAGGCCGGCCCCACACCCUUGGGCAUUGGAAGGGCCAUCCACAAAUAAAGUCCAUAGGGGCUGGGUCAGGUCUAAAGUGCCUUUGCUGGCGGCGUGGUCCUGGCUCGAAGGAAGAUUGGGUUCGGGUAUAAGCUGGGUAGCUACUGAGGCUUGGGGUUCCGUGAAUUCUAAUAAGAAGUCAGCGACUGCCUGGCCCUUUGUAGCUAGGCGAGGUUUGUAGUGUAUAUCAAACUCACCAAGUUCAAUGGCCCACUUAACCAACCUCCCAGAAGUUUCUGGUUUCUGCAACACCUGUCGGAGCGGUUGGUUGGUUAAGACAUGGAUGGUGUGAGCUUGGAAGUAUGGUAUAAGGCAUCUAGCCAAGACUACCACGGCGAAGGCCAAUUUCUCAAUGUCUAGGUACCGGACCUCGGCGUCCUGCAAUGCUUUACUAACAUAAUGCACUGGGUGCUCCGUGCUAUCCCUUAGUCGGAUGAGCAUAGAGCUAACUGCCGUAACCGAGACGGAGAGAUAAAUCAUGAGGAUGUCUCCGGGCCCAGAGGUUGACAAUAAAAGGGCCCGGCCUAUAUACUCCUUGAGCUUUCUGAAAGCCUUCUCACACUCGGCAGUCCAGGUAAUGUUGCACUUGCUACCCUUUAGUGCCUUAAAAAAUGGGGCACAGCGGUCAGUGGCCUUGGAGAUAAAUUUGGUCAAGGCUGUGACACGUCCUGUAAGGCUUUGAAUGUCCUUGACUGUCUUAGGUAUCGUCAUGUCUAAGAUGGCCUGGAUCUUCUCUGGAUUGGCCUCAAUACCCCUCUGGCUGAUCAUGAAGCCAAGGAAUUUGCCUAAAGCCACCCCGAAUGCACAUUUUGUGGGGUUAAGCCUCAUUCUAUACUGCUUCAAGAUGGUGAUCAUGGUAGAGAGGUUAGGGAUGUGCUGGUCAGCUAUGCGACUCUUGACUAGUAUGUCAUCAACGUAUACCUCCAUGGUGUUGCCAAUCAAUGGGACAAAAAGGCUGUUCACCAGACAUUGAUAAGUAGCCCCGACAUUCUUGAGGCCGAAGGGCAUCACCUUAUAGCAGUAGAGGCCACGAUCCGUAAUGAAUGAGGUGUGGGCUUGGUCCUCGGGGUGCAUGAAGAUCUGAUUGUACCCUGAGUAAGCAUCCAUGAAGCUAAGGAGGGCGUGGCUAGCUGCGGCGUCAACCAGCUAGUCAAUGCGGGGUAGGGGAAAGCUAUUCUUCGGACAGGCCCGAUUAAGGUUGGUGUAAUCUACACACAUGUGCCAGCUCUUUCUUGGUUUGCGGACCAUCACCACAUUAGCCAGCCAUGUGGGAUAGUCAACCUCCCUGAUGAAUCUGAUACUACUCAGUCUAACCACCUCCGCCCUCAUGGCCUCAUAGCAUUCGGGGUCAUAAGCGCGACAUUUCUGUCGAACGGGUCGGAUGUAGGAUUAAUGCUGAGCCCAUGGGAUAUGAUGUUUGGUGAUAUACUAGGCAUGUCAUUGUAGGACCAUGCGAAGACUUCAUAGUUGAGGUGGAGGAAGGCGAUGAGGUCAUAGCGAAGCUCUUGUGAGAGAGAGGUGCCGAUCCGAGAUGUCGUAAUGAAGAGUAACCAGCUCCAGGUCUUCCACAGGUUCGGCUUGCUGUGUGACAGACUCCUCCCUGGGGUCCUUAGGUCGUUCAGUGCCAGCUUAAGGAGGGGCUGGAGCCUUGGUUACUGCGAGGGCCUCACUCCUAUGUUGGCGAUUAGUGGAUGUGACUGCUGAAGCAUAGCAGCUUCGGGCGCCAAGUUGGUCGCCACGCACCGUGCCUAUGCCAUUAGGCGUAGGGAACUUCAGUAACAACAUAUGUGUGGAAAUAAAAGCCCUCAUUUGGGCUAAGGCGGGGCUCCCAAGGAUGACGUUGUAAGCUGUGGGACAGUCAACAAUGAGGAAGGGGGUGGUGAUCGUCGCCCGCUGGGAUGCGGCUCCAAUAGAUAUAGGGAGAUGAAUGCUUCCAAUGGGUUGGACAACAUCACUAGAGAAGCUUACGAAGGGUGUGAUGCUUCGGUCAAGUAAGUAAGAAGGGACCUGGAGCCCAUUGAAAGCGUCAGCAAACAUCACACUGACCGAGCUACCAGUGUCCACCAAGAUACGCCCAACGUCGAAGUUAGAAAUGUCCCACGGAUAAUGAGUGGGUCAUCAUGGGGGAGGAUAACACCACGCUCCUCCUCAUCGCAGAAGGUAAUGGGGGCCCAGCCUGAUUUUUGGGUCUUUGGCAAGCGUCACUGCUCAGUGCUAAAGACCUAGUGCGCAUAGGUGGAGCGGACAUAAUGUUUGAUGGAGUUGUUAGAGGUGCCAGCCAAGGUAGGACCACCACUGAUGGUGGAGAUCAUGUUGAUCUGCCGUUGGUGAGGGUUAGGUUGGGGUGGUAGGUUGUGCACAUAGUUGUCCAGCUUUCCUUCACGGAUGAGCCCUUCAAUGAUGUUGCGCAAGGAAACACAAGAUUCGGUGUCAUGGCCACUGAACUGAUGAAAGUGGCAGAAAACGCCUGUGUUUGGCAUAGGCUUGCCGGAUUGUCUCCAGGGGGGUGGCUUGGGGAUGAUAAGGGCUUCACGCACCAGGACGUUCUCAUAGGUGGUGUUGAGGGUGGUAAAGACCUCGAACCUGGGCCUCGGUGUGAAGGGAAGUGGGGCCUGAUCACUUGUCUUGGGAGAGUUGCUUCCACUAGAUUGGUGGCGGUUGUCGUGGUUGCCGUGUCUGCCACAUUUGUUAUUGCUGAAGGGAUGCUGGUAGCUAUCCUUCCUUUUUGGGUGUGGGGUACCCUAGGUACUUAGGGCGGGGGUAGAAUGCUGAGGUUGGGCUAGGGCAGGUACUGAAGCAGGUGGAGGAUUAGCAAAAGUGUUACGCGUCAGGUUGGCUGGGCCACGCUUGGAAUUGAAGUAUUCAGCCUUGGCGUGAACCGCUGCCUGCUUCAUUAGCUUUGCAUAUGUGUUCCAACUGUUGUUAUGAACCAGGUAGCGGAAGUUGGACUCCCGGAGGCCACUCUUAAAAGCCCCGAAGGUAGCGCGAUCAUCAGUCUCUGGGCAGCGGGAGUAUUUGUGACUGAAUCGGGCUGCAUACUCCUGAAGGGGUUCGUCCUCACUCUGCCGAAGCAUAUACAAGUCUUUGGCACAGUAUAGGCGAUCAGUCUGGAUCAUAAAAUGGUCCAGGAAGGUCUGCUUGAGACUAUCAAAUGAGUUGAUGGUGCGGGGGUGGAGUCUAUAGAACCAGUUUAGGGCUGCGCCGCUGAGGAUGAAAGGAAAGAGGAGCCACAUGCCUUUGUCAGUGAGGCCCUUACACCCAAGGGCAGAGUGGAAUGAGUGGUUAUGAGUGAAGGGGUCCUCCGUGCCAGUGUAGAAGGCGAUACGGAGCGGCUGGAUAUCCUUCUCCUGGUGGUAGUUGAGGAUACGUUCAGUAAAGGGCCCAGGUCGUGGCUUUUCCCAGAUGGGUUGAUGGCUUUGAUAUUGUUCACUCUCUAGACGUCGGACCUUCUCAAAGAGAAACCUCAUGGCCGGGUAGGUAUGAGGGAGAGUCUCGGGUGCUAAAGGCCUGCGGGGUGGGCAGACAGAGGCUGGGGAAUGUUCCCAUUCUUCCAACGCCUUGGUGUGGUAAGGUGGCCAGGCUUCUGAAUUAUAAAAUUCCCAGCUAUCCGAGUCCCCUACGCUUUCCUCGUCGGGUAAGUAGGUGGGCCCUGGUGGGGGGUCCAGGUGUGUCACCCGUGGGUCUUCAAAGUUGACAGGAAUAGGGAUCGGCUCUAGUUGAUGGUCCAAGAUGCGGUCCCUGCAAUCUCUGUAGAUCCUGACUGGUUCAUGAGGCCGAUCCUUCGGCGGGGGAAUGCAAAAGAGUCGCGACUAGGUUAGCUUCGGAUGAAGGUGGCCUUUACCUUUGCGGAGCCUAGAUUAGGCCGGGGCACUGUGGCUGGAAUGUACUGGCUGGUUUGGCUGGGUAUGCCCAACGUUCUGGGUAAGUUCUUGUUGGGCAUCCUGAGUGUGAGUCCUCUCCCGGUUUCACUUUAGAACACAAUAGUCAUGCUCUAGCUCAGCAUUCCUGAAAUGAAGAUGCUCGUAUUUCUCUGACAUUUUAGUAAUGCUGUCACGGAGGCGCUCCACUUCUGCCUAGAGAUUAGCAUCUCCCGAAGGUUUCCUUCGGGAAGUACCAUCACGGGGGGUAUGGUGCUGGGUAUCGUGGCUAUCCUUGGUCGGCAUAGCAGAAUGUGGGGUGAAGAAGAAGCGACGGGGCCUGAUAGGUGAAAGAGCCUGCUGGGCUAGUAGAGAAAGAGGGGAUUUAAGUGUCUAGUUCCCACAGACGGCGCCAAACUGUUGAUGCUCAAAAUGACCCGGCCAGUGUUGAGUCCAACUUAGUGAUGAGGUGUUGGAGUCUUCAGCAGAGAAGAAGGCUAAGGCCUUUGAUAAGGGGGGAACCUGUAGAAGACAAAAUGGGAGAAGUAAUCAUUAAGCUUCGGACACCGGUGUGGUGCCGGUCGAAGGCUCUUCGAUGCUUAAGUCAGCUAUAAGUGGUAACUUUGGCAGAGUAACAGUAAAUGUGAGAAAGUAGAUACUUUUUUACUUAGGUACUGUUCCCUAUUUAUAGGGGGUGAAAGUGAGAGGUUUGCACAAAGUUUCAAUGUGGGACUUUGUGCAAGUCGCCGUGGUGGCGACACAUGUCCUGGGGAUUAGGUUUGGCAAUUGGGAGCUUCGGCAUGUGUCUGGCACCUCGGAAGUCUGUCUUCCUUUGGCAAGGAAGAAGGCGUGGCUGUCUUGGUGCUAGUCGCUUUUGAGGCUGAGUAUGCUCGAUUGAUUAUGGUGUAAACAACGACCAAUAAACAUGUGUAGCGGCACCAAGCUAACUCCGCUAGUUAGCUUCAGAGGAAGGUCUCAAUGCACCCUCGUCUCCACCAACAAGCUUUAUCCCCUAACAAUUGUCUUUUCCAUGAACACUUGUCAACACUUCCCGUUUCCAGCAACAACCCAUCGAGAUCUUCAUGGUACUACCAUCCAGACGUGUUUUGCGAGUACUCUGCACAGGUAUGUACGUUUGAUUUAUAGUUUGGAAAGUGGGAACUGAAAUGGGUUUUGAACUCUUUUACAUUGAAAACUACGAUCGGUAUUAUUUUUGUGUCAUAAUGUAACUGGUUGAAUUUGUCGAAUUUGAAGUUGUAAAUGAAUCUAAAUUUAAUCGUUGGUAUUACUUUAAAUAAUCGUAUAUUAUUUGAAUCGUGAUUAUUAAUCUAAGAAAUACGUGUGGCUUGAUCUCACACCAAGGGGUACGUAGGUAGCCUGGGGUCACCUAGGUGCAGCCGUAACUUAAAUUAUUACUUUUGUUGAGGUUGGUUUUGAAUAAUUCCCUUACGAUUUUCUGUUUUGCUCCCCUAGGCAGUAGCUUGAUCUGAGUCGAGCAAUCGAGCCAAGAACUGUACUUUCGUGCCCUAAACUUCUGUAGCGCAUUUCUAUUUGUUUAAUUUCCGUUAAACUUCAUUUCGAUUGUAAAUUGCUCUGUUAUAGCCCAUACAGGGUUGGAUUUAAGGCCGGAGGCGUAUUAUGUAAAUUUUAUGCUUUUACAUUGUGCGUGCUGCCAGUUGGACUAUGUUUACUAUGUUUCAAUAGGUUGAAAUUGUGAGAAAAAUCCGUUUUUCAAGGGAGACUUAGCCGAAAUUUCGGUACAAAGUCUCAAGCCUCUUUUCCUUUGUUUUCAAAGAAGAGGAUGUUGUUAGUAAGUGGGCCCAGCAUCGGUUGGAUGUUGGAAAAAUCACAAGGUUCAUUACUAAUUUCGAGGAAUUCGAGGAGGGUCCUGUCAAUUGCCGCUGCCUAUAUUGCUCUCCUCUCUUCAUAUUUUCUCCCCACGACUCCGGUCACCCGAUUCACACCAUACAUACAUCUCCGUACCUUUUUUAGCUAUUGUUUCUCCAAAAUUCAAUCGAACUAACUUAGGCAACGGAGGGCCUUUGGCCAACACCCCCCAGGUAUUGUCUAUUUACUCCGGUCUUUUUUAGAGGAAUCAAGGAGGAGAGAGAAAGAAGUUCAAAGGGGAAAGAAUCUAGAAGCGAAUAUUCUCCCAAGAGAUUAUUUGCACAAACAAUUAGCAUAGAGCUUCCUAUGGACUUCAAGUAACCAAUGAUUUGACUUUAUGAUUGAGCUUAUGACCCAGUUGAUUUUCUAAAUGAUUUUUGAUACUAAAUGAAUGUAAAGGAUGCUAAAGACCCCACGAAGUGUCGAGCUUUCCCUUUUUCUCUUGGAAGGAUCCACUAAGGAUGGUUCAAAUCCUUGAAACUUGAUUCCAUUAGCUUAUUUGAUCCAACUUAACCAAAGUUUCAUCAACCAGUUUCUUUCUGCAUCAAAUAAGAGGCACCCAACCAAGUAUCUCUUGAGAAUUAAGUAAGACCGUAAUGAAAUGUUAUGAGAGUACAUCAGCCGUUUCAACCAAGAAGUAAUCAGUUUCCCAAGCUGCUUCAAGGACACAUCCUAUACAAGUCUUCUGGCUGGAUUUCGGAAAGGACCUUUCCUAUUCCAUGUCAAAACAAUAAACACCUAAGAGUUAUGAAGACUUUGUGUCUGAGGCGUAUUGUCAUGUCAUUGUUGAUGGUGCAAGAAGAAAGCAUGAAAAAUUAUAAAGGAAAAACAAGCACUAACCCUAAAAUUAAUGAAUUGUAAUCCACUAGAAAAGAUAGAAAAUCUUAAUAGUAUUAUUAGCAAUAUAAAUUAACUUAAGAAUAAAAACUUCAUAAAGCUGUUUUAAGGAAAAAAAAAAUUUCUAAAAUCAUAAGAAAUCCUAGAUUUUGAAAUAUUCAUAAAACUUAUCUAAUAAGAAAAUAAUAAAAUCCUAAUAAGAAAAUGAUGUUAGGUGAAACAAAUCCUAACUUAUUCUAUACAUAUAAAAUAAUAAAGUAAAUUAAAUAUAAUUCUUCCCAAAAAAUUAUUUUUGCUUCAAAGCUAAUCAAGCAACCUAAAAAUCUCAACGCCUUCUUUCUAUACACCAUAUGUAAUACCUCGACCCAAUUUAAUUGUCUUUAUCUAAUUUUUAUUCAAGAAUUUACAAUUUUGCCCUUGGGGGUAGGUCAAUUUAGUCACUUUUUAAUCUGGAAGGUUUUUGGGGAAAUGAGUGGCACCAUUGGGUAGAGCUCUCUCUCACGAGUUCAUAGACACGUAGUGGGCUCAAAUCGGAGUUUUAACGAAGAAGUUGUGAUAUACGGAAGUGCAGUGGCAGAACCGUAAAUUUUGCAAAGUCAUAUAUAUUUUUUUUUAAAUCUGGGCAAUUUUGCAAAGUAAUUUUUUUUUUUUCAAAAAAAAAAAAAUUGGGUAGCUUCUCUCUCUCUCUCUCUCUCACACACACAUUUCUCUCCUAUCAUUCGUGAUGCACUUUCUCUCCUCUCUCUCUCUCUUCUGCUGCGAUGCCGCCACUUUAGUGGGCGAAUUCGUUGUAGUUCGGUGACCAAAUUCCCCAAAACUACUUCCAAAAUUCUCACAUCUCUCUCCUCUACCCAACCCAUACCUUUUCCUAGCUCAAAAACCUGACGUUUAGCGACUGUAACAAUUUGAAUUUUUUGUAGAUUUAUUUCGGCGGCUGUUUCCGUCAACCAAGGUACUUUUACUUCGCAUAUUCCAGAGGAAGAGCCCUCUCAGGAUUGAGUAGCGUGGACUUGUUGUGAGUGGACAUUGUUUUAAAUGAGCAUUAUUUUUCCAAUAUGGAAUUGCAUGCAUAAAUGAGAUUUGAUUUAGAACUUGGCUUAUUUGGUUUACAGGGAUUUUAUAUGUUUUGACUAUGAUUUUAUCAGAAUGUGGCAUAGGUUUUUCAAGAAUUAUUAUUGUUAUUAUGGUCAUUAUUAAAGUAUAUGGAUUGUCUUGCAUAUUUAUAUAAUUUGGAUUAUUUUGAUUAUUGAGUUUAUGAAGUUAUAAUAUUGUUUAUUUUGUGGAUUAUAGUGCUUUAUGGAAUUAUUGGAGUUUAUUUUGACAUUUGGAAUUUGUGAAUAUUUUGGGUUAUGAAAUUUAUGCUUUUGAGAGUUUGAUAUCUAUAUUACGUAUAAAUAUUGGGUAUUGAGUUAUUGACGCUAUUAUUAUCCGGAAGUCUAUGUAUAUGGGCUUGGGUACAUUGGGAUUAUUUGGGAAUUGGUUAUGGUUAGACUUAUGGUACAUGAGUUGGGAUGUAGGAUAUGUUAUAUUGGAGUGUUGAUAGCACCACCCUAUGUACCUCCCUGGCACUUAACUACUUGGAUAUGGAUACUUGGAUAUGUCGGAACCCGGACACCAUUUACGAGGUGUUUCGCAGGCCCUUGGCCAGGUAGUCUACGCCCGUAGGACUUAGUUCAGCUGCACGAGUAUUCAGGAUUUUGCUAUGUGUGUUUGGGAGCCCAGUCCCCCAAUUGGACAGCUCGUCCCUAGCCACAUGGUUAUUGAGGAUUCUUCCAUGUGGUUUAGUCAAACAAUCCCCCGGUUGGAUUGUUUCCCUGAUUCAAGUUUGAUAGUGGUCAUACCUAUAUGUAUACUUAUAUAUAUAUAUAUAUCAGAAGGGUGUAGAACUAGUGAUGACAUACUCAUAAUAAAUGGGAAUGAAAUAAAUAAUAAGAAAAAAACAGUGCAUAAAAUUAAUGAAACUUAAAUGAAAAUAAGAAAAUUGCAAACUUACAGAAAAUCUUGACUGAAAGAUUUUAUUGAUAGAAAGUAGCGCUCACAUUUUACAGAUAAAGUUUUCCUUGAAGGUGAUUCAGAGAAAACUUUGAAACUUUGAAACUAAAAAUUACAUUCUGAGUACAACUGAGGCCAGAGCCUCUAUAUAAAGAGCCAAAAAAGUGUCGGCAACAUUGGAUGCUUGGAAUUUUUACUGUUGGAGCAUGGGUCUUCUGCUUUUGCUUUAACUAGAGCUUUAGGACUUGACUGUCUGGGUAAUCUGCCAUCUGAACUUUUGUGUGGAAUCUUUUUUACUUGAUGGAUUUUGAGUAUGACUGGAGGAUGAGGCUUGAGUGGAGUGAGACUUUGGGGAAGCAUCAUCAUCAUCAUCAUUCAUUUGUGAGGCUUGGAUCAUUAAUUGUCUGGCUAAUUCCUUUAAUUUUGAUUUGGAUCUUCUUUCGAUUGGAAAGGAAGAGUGAGAUGUACCAGACGCGGAAGGCUUCUGGGGAGCUUUGACUGGGGGAAACUCAUUUUUGACUUGUUCAAUAAUUCUUUCCGUCUUGAAUUUAUCCCACCAUUUGAUGGAGAAUUUUCUGGAGAGAAUACGUGAUUCCCAGUGACUUGAUAGGACCAUUGUAGAAUCCAGGGAACUUUGUAUUUGGCAAUGAAAAUUAAAGACUUUGGAAAAAAUUGACUUUCUUGCAUAAAUUUAUACUUACUAGAAAAGUACUUGACUGAUUCUUUGGGAUUUAGGGGAAGAAUAUCAAUAGUUGGACCAUGUCGCUUUUGAAUUUACUAUUGAAAUUUACAAAUCAUGAAUGACUAAAAUCUUUGGUUUGAUGGAGGAAAAUGAUGUGCCAAGCUUCAAUGUAAUCAUGGUAAUUAUAUUGGAGACUGGAAUUAAGUGUCUUGAAAGAGUAGGGGUGAUCGCCCCUUUCAGAUUGACUGAGAAUGUUUUUGAUAUGCAUGGAAUGAUAGAGAAUGAUAUUUGGAUAAUUUCUAUCUUUGAUUGGCCUGAUUUCUAAAGUCUGGGUUUCAAGAAGAAUAUCACGGUAGUAUUUGAAUGACUUAAAAGGAUGUGGAGGUAUGUAAUGGAAAUUGGGAGGGAAAUAGGCUUUGGCUAUUUGACUGGAUUGGUCAAAUGGUUAAAGCAUGGUUCAAUAAAGAAGAGGGUAUGACUGCUUUUGGGGAAAUAAGGAGAAGAUUUGGUAUGACUAAUUGGGGAGGAAGCAGGAGAGAGGGUUAAGACUUGGAAUGGAUCAUAACUAGAGAUGAGAGCUGACUGGUAAUUAGGUCGUAUGUUACUGACUGUGGAUCCUAAAGUGGCAUACCUAUUUGAUACUUGAAUGGGAGAAAAUCUUGGGUAAGGGAUGACUUGGGAAGGUUGCUCUGUUUUUACUGGAGUCAUUGAUGCUGGGAGUUGUCUGACUAGUUGCUUGCCUUGCUGUUUUGUUUGUUUUUCUACCAUUACUUAUCUUGAAGAAAUUCUCUAGUAAGGAAAUAUGGGAUAGAAUUCUCACUUCCUCUCAAAUAUUCAAUAUCAAAAUCAAAAAUACUUAAAAGAGCUUGCCAACGUGCAAAAAUCUGUUUUGAUGCAAUAUUUUGAACGUCUUUUUUCUAAAACAUGUUUUGCACUUUUACAAUUGACUCUGACUAAAAUUUUUUGAUUUAAUAAAUCAUCUUGAAAUUUUGGGAUGCAUAAUACUAUAGAUAGAAUUUCUUUUUUAAUAGUACUGUACUUAUACUGUGACUAUAUCCAAAUUCUAGAAUGGAAUCGAAUGAUUUGCUCUGUUUGGUGGGGAUUGACUCUUUGUUUUAGGAUUCCUCCAUAACCGUUGUCUGAGGCAUCAGUUUCAAAAAUUUUGAAGGAAUUGACUAAAGGAAUACCAAGACAGGGUAGUGUUUUGACAUGGACUUUGAUCUAUUUGACAAUUUCUGUAUGAAUAGAGAUCCAAGGAGGAGGAUUACUUUGGAGUCUGUCAAAUAGGGGUUUACAUUGCUUUCGCAGAUUUUGAUAGAAAUCAUAGACAUAAUUAAGAGAUCUCAUAAACCAUUGGAGUUGACUUUUGUCAAGAAUUUGAUCUAAAAAUUUAUCAGCAAACUGGAUGACUCGAUUAAUUGGACUGAUUUGUGACUGACAAAUAUUAAAACCAAGAAAUCUAAUGUUGGUUUGGAAUAGCUUGAUCUUUUUAGCUGAGACAACUAAACCAUUUUUCUUGACUAUGUGAAGGAAUUUAUACAGAUUUUUCCAAUGUUGCUCUAAUGACUGGGAAAAAAUAAGGACAUUAUCAAUAUAAACUAUGGAGAAAUCACUGAAAUGGUUGAAUAUUUCAUUCAUUAUAUUCUGGAAUUCAUUGGGCGCAUUUUUUAGACCAAAAGGCAUGACAUUCCACUCAUAAUGACUGAAUGAGGUUACAAAAGCGGUUUUAUAUUUAUCUGACUCUUGGAUUUGAAUUUGCCAAAAUCCACUCUUCAUAUAAAACUUAAAGAAAAUGACUACUUUGUCUAAUCUAUUGAUUAAAUCUCUCUUAUUGGGGAUUGGAUAUUUAAUCCAUUCUAAUAUUGUCUUAAGGGGUUUAUAAUUUUUGAUAGAACUUCGCCGGCCUUGUUCUCUCUCCCCGACCACCAAACCAGACGUGUGAGGUAUGGUUUCACACCUAUUUUUCGUGCUCUAGCUGAUGGUUGGGAAGGAUUUGAUCGAUUUCUAGCCUAGGUGGUUCGAUUUGUAACUCAAAGUUUGGCUAGAUUUCAGGUUGAAAUUCUGGCCACUUCCAGCCAUUUUUCGGGGUAGGUCCAAGAACAAAAGUGGCUCCAAUUGAUGUCCUGAACCUAGGGUAGGAAGCUUGGCUUUUAAUUUUGAGAAUUUUCCGGUGAUCAUUAUCGCUUUGGGCACAGUAGAAAAGGGGCAUUGUGUCCCGAUGCGACCUUUAGUUGUCACGAGUACGUAGGUAUGUUCGGAUUCCAAUUUGGAUACCGUUUGAGCUUCAAACGAAUUUCGCAUAUUGUGCGAUUUUUGGGUUCGAUAGGUUUGGAUCGAACUCAAAUUCAUAUAUGUUGUACCUCCGUAUAGGAUUCGACAGAUCGUGAAUCAAAGUCCCGGAUACCUCAAAAUCGCGAAACCUAGGGCAAGAUAAAUUGUAGUUGUCCGAUCGUGUGAUCGUGAUCAAUCCGACAGUUUGAUUUGGACCAAACUUGUAGGGUAGGUUCAGAAGAAUGCGUUGAACCUACAGAGACUCCUGGAAUUGUGAUCGGAGGUCGUGGGCCUCGCUGGCCAAGUUUAGGCGGUUUGCCCUUUCGGUUGACCGUGAGUCUUCCAACGCAGUUAUAUCCUUUGAGAAGUGUUAAAAUGACCAUGUAAACGAGUCCUGACCGAGACUGAGUUAUCUGGGUCAUGUUACGAAUUGAGUAUAGAUAGUUAUAUAUAGAUUGCUAAUGUACCCAGUAGUUGGAAAUGAUGAAUUAUGGCCCUUGGUAUUUAUUAGAAAGAUGAUAUAAAGGUUGGGAAAUGGAUUGUAAAAUAAAAGGAAAGUAUUGAUAUAAGUUUGGGAUAUGGUUUUUCAAACCCACCACAAGGGUACCCCCUAAUUUCUUUGAAACAAUGUCAUUUAUAAAUAAUGCCCCAAGUGUUUUGGGAACUCUUGAAUCGUGCCGAGCAAGCAAUGCAGCUUAGGCUGACCAAAGGUCCCCUGAGGCCUGCGAGAAUUGCGGCUCGGAUAGAAAUGGUAUCUUUGAGGCCUGCGAGGAUUGCGACUCGGAUAGAAAUGGUAUCUCCGAGGCCUGCGAGGAUUAUGGCUAGAGUAAACUUGGUGUCUCCAAGGCCUAUGAGGAUGGAAUUGGCGGUAUUAAUGGAAUUGACGGAUCAGGAAUGAGGGUACGCCUGGAUGGAAAGAAUUUCAAUUUUGAGAUGCUCUUAAACUAAAAUAGAGGGAGUUUAGUGUAUGGCUUAUCUAUAAUCAGUAUAUGAUUGUUACGAGUAUUGGGAAGUUCCAAAGUAUUGUUUUAGAGUUGUGAAUAUGAUUGAGUACUUCACGCACAUGAGAAUUCAGUUUGAUUUACAAAACACAUGGCAAUAUGAUGAAUGAAUAAGAUAUUCAAGUACAUUAUUAAAGGGAAAGAACUAGGUGUGGCUUGAUCCCUCAGUAAGGGUAUGUAGGCAGACUAAUGUUACAAGGUGCAGCCAUGAGUUGGAGUGUUUGGGAUUGCUAGUGUACUAUUGAUGUUCUGAAAGUUGAGAUGAAUUUUAUUAGCAUAAUGAUUUAUUUGAUUUGUUGAGGCCUAAGGCCAGAAUGAUAUGAUGCUUGAUUGCUUGGAUAUAAUUUAAUGCAUGUUGAACGAUUGGGAUAUAUAAAUGUUUGUUGAUAGGUGGAAACUUUUGGGAAACGAGCAAGUUAUAGGGGAGACUCUGCCGAAUUUUCGGUAGAAGUCAAAUUUGAAGAAAAUUUGGUUUUUAGUUAGAAUGGCAUUUGGGUCAUUUGUGCCCGGCAUCCGUCGGGUGUCGGACACGCUCAGGACAGGAACAAGGUGACUUGCUUUUACGGAUUAUUCCUUUGUGAAGUAGCUCUGCAAUUUCCUUUUUGCAAAAUUCCAUGACUUCUUGACUCAUUUGGAUUGGUCUUGCUUUAGUAGGAAAGUUUUUUUCCACAUGUUGUUUUCUAUGCCAAAAGGCAUUAGGUAGGUCGGAAAAAAUUUCUUGUUUUAGUUUAUCUUCAAAAUUUGAAUUUGUGACUGCAAGGACUUAUCAGUAAGCUGCUGUUCAAUUCUUCUGAAUUUAACUUCUUCUUUAAGAAAAUCUAAUUGUUUACUUUUAUUCUGGAUUAUCUUGACUGUUUUUGAAAUUACAUUUUCUAUAAAGCUUUUAAAUUAUGUAAUUCUGGUUUGGUUAAAAAUUCAAAAUUGACUUUUUCUCCCAUGUGGGUAGAUGUGACUCCAUUGUAUUCAACUUGAAAAGGGUAUAAGAGGGCUAUGAAAGGUAGAUAGAGGAUGACUUCAUCUGUGAUAUUUUUUACUAAAACCAAAGAAGUUUUAAAACAUAUCUUAUUUUGACAGACAUAGGCUUUUGGGAUUUCAUAAUCCAACUGAAAUGGUUUACUUGAGGUAGUGCCUAAUGUUUCUUGGCCUUUUGGAAUAUUUGGUGGGGAUUAAACCUUCUCGUAUACAAUUAAGGUCGGCUCCUGAAUAAAGAAGAGCUACUGUGUUUAACUCGAAUUUUUUAAUAUAAAAAUUGUUACUUUAGAGUAUCAUUUUCUAAAAUUUAUUUGUUUUAUUAAAUUAAUGGCUUUAUCAUUGUUUGAAGGUUCAUCAUAUGAAUUAAUGGCUUUAUCAUUGUUUGAAGGUUCAUCAUAUGAAUUUGUUGGACUUUCAGAUUGACUCUUAGUAUUAGAAUUCCUUUUUUCCAUUAAAUUAAUCAAAUCGUGUUUAAUUUCGAAAUUUUCAUUUUGUAACUCGUGACUCAUUUGUUUUAACUCUAUUAUCUCUUUUUUGACCAUUUUUACUUCCAGCUGUAAAUCCUGUAAAGUUACUUCUUUUCUUUUCUUGAAUUUUUCCAAGGUAGUAUUUAGACUUAUUUUUGGGGAAAUGUGUUGACUCGUCUCUUCUUGACCAAUGACUUUUCUUAAUUUCUUUAAAUAUUCAGAUUUUAAUUCUGAAUUUUCUACUUUACUGAUUAAAUCAAUUAAUAAUUCUUCUUGCUCUCCUUGUUUUGUGAGGACUUGUAUUGACUUAGUGAGGACAUUACAACACUUAUCUUUACAACCAAAUUAGACUUUUGGGGAACUUAAUUGGGAAUUUGAGGAACUAUAAUCUACUGAGCUCGUUAUUGUGGUUUCAACUUCACUAGACUCAGAGUUUCUUAAUUCUAAUACCUUAAUUAAUUGGGCUUUUUCUUAAUCGGUGAUUUUUAAUUGCUUUAUUGUGUCUUUUACUUUACAUUCAUUAGCAUAAUGACCAUGUUUUUUACACUUCCAGCAUUCCACUUUCUUUUUAUCUGUAUUUUUCUUAAAGUUACUUUUCUUGUCUUUUCUGGGGGGGUUUUUGACCAGUUUUUUCAUGGGUUAAAUUUUCUUUUACCAUAAAAUUCAUCAUUAUGUCUAAAGGAUUGUUUCCUACGUGAGUAAUGACUAUGUUUACUAGUUUGUCGGUCAUUGUACCUAGUCUUGACCUUUCUAGAUGGGGGAAUAGAUGCUAGGCCAUAUUGUUCACAAAAGUCUCCUAGUUCAUAUUUGGCUGAAUUUCUUUAUGACUGAAUUUGUUUACCUAUUUUCAUGUCAACACACUUUUUCAUUCCUACUUGGUUAAUUGUAUUAAUAAUAUUUCCAUAAGUUAAAUUAUCGAAAUCUAUGUGACCCUAAUCAUAACUUAGGACUGUUCAUAUUUAGUGAGCAAACAAAUUAGGAAGGCCGUUACUAAAUUUUUUUUCCAAAACAGUUGGUUACUAUCAUCUCUUAACAUGACGUCGACUCUAGAAAUAAAGACAUCUUUAUACCAUCUAAAAUCACUUAAUUUGGGACAUGUGAGAUUACUAAGUUGAUCGUGAAUUUUGACUGUAGUGUGGUGUUCCUAUGAAAUGUUCAAUUAUGGUAUAUAAUAAAGUAUUGACUCCGUCUUCUAUGCAUGUUCCUAAGCGUGCAUCAAAAAUAGGGAGAUCUUCUUCAUUCAGUUUGAUUGCAUAUGUGAUUUGUCAUUUUCACUCUUUAGUUAAAUGUUUAUCCCACCAAGAGUGUAAGGUUCCAGUGAAUCCUGUUUCUAAAAAGGGAACAAUUUCUGACUGUCUUAAAUUGUGAUUGGUUAUAUAACUAUUAGCUACCAUAGACAUAUGUUGAAGUUUAUUUAGGAUUUCUUGUUCGGAAAGGCCAUCAAUAUUCUAUUCGUAUAGUUUAUCGGAUGAGAUUGAGAAUUGACUUUGAUAAUUUCUUUCUUCAAACUGAAUGUCUGGAGGGGUUGGUUUGGGAUGCCAAUUUUUUGUUAGACUAGUAGGAUUGACUUUGUUCCUUAAUCUAUUAAGCUUGAAAUCAUUAUCUAUUUCCAAACUAUUAAAGGCUUUCUCAAUUUUUGAUAUAUUACUAGAAUUUGUUUCAUUACUGGUUAUAGACUCGGUUUCAGAGGUAUUGACUAAAAUGGAGGACUCAAGGACUUUGAGACCAGAAACUUCAGGUUUUUCUUUAAUUGGGGUUAAUUGUUUAAGCAUUUCUUCAAUCUUUUCCAUUGUGGGACUCGACUUGAGAGUGGGGCUUGACUUUAGGUCUUGGAAUUUUACUAAAGGUUUUUCUUUUUGAGACUAAAGGGAUAUUUGUUGAGGGACUAUUUUGUCAAUUUUUGUUUCUAUUUUAUCUAAUUGUUUUCCAAUGACUAUUAGACUCUAGUUUGUAUAAUUAUUUUGCUCAAUUAUUUUCUUGUCAUUUUGUUCUGGAAUUUUGAAAGGACUUGCCUGGAGUUUAGUAUUUUUAUGGAUGGGUGAUAACUAUAGUUUCAGUAGGAGGAUGACUGGCUAGAACUUCGGUGUUAUCUUCUCUUUUCCAUUUUUCUUGGGUUAAAGUUUUUAUCUCUUUUGACAUGUAGUGACUUUCAACAUAAUCAAGAACAAAAAACUUAUGACUUGGUAUUUUUCAUAAAAUUUUUCCAUUCAUUAAAGAUUUGCUAGCAUUGGACUUUAUUUGGGUAGGCUGUGUGGUAGUUAUUUCUUUGUUCCAGAUUCUGAGGCAUUUAAAUGACUAUCUAAAAUUUUCCAAUGAAUUUUGAAUUCUUUGUUGAGGGUUCGUAACUGAUUGUCUGUGGGAAUGGCUUCGGCUUCAAAAUCAGUUUGUGUGGGGGAAUCUGAUUUUUUGUCUUCUUUCACUGGUUUCUUACCAUAAUAAGGAUGGUUGACUUGGGAAGUUUUUCUUAAAGAUUUUCUAACUUUAAAUCAAUCAACGUUUUUUCAAACUCUAGGUCUCUUUCUAGAGUAGAGGAGGAAGCUGCAAAGGAAUGUCAGGCAGGCAUAUAUCUCAAGGAUUGACUAGGUGUUGGGAGUGGUUGUAUUUGGACUAAGGACUUGUGAGGCUGGUUUCCAAAAUUUAUUUUUACUGUACCAUCUAAAUAUUGUUGGAUAUAAUCUAGAUUAUUCAAAUUAUGUUGAAUAGGAGCGGGUUGAUUUUCUAUUAUUAAUGUCAAAUCUAGGGGUAAGGCUACUUCUAACCACUUAAUUGUAUAGGGAACUCUUAUAUUAGUAUCAGCUUUACUACUUUGAAUAAGCAAGGUUUAGUCUUUUGGGCUUUUAUUAAGAGUUUGGAAAUUCAUAUUAGUUCUUGUGACUUUAUAAUAAAUUCUAUAGAGUUCUCCAUACAAUUAAGGAAUUAGUUCCUCUGGUACAUCUCACUCUUCCCUCCCAAUCGAAGGAAGAUCCAAAUCAGAAUUAAAGGAAUUAGCCAGGCAAUUAAUGAUCCAAGCCUGACAAAUGAAUGAUGAUAAUGAUGAUGAUGCUUCCCCAAAGUCUCACUCCACUUAAGCCUCAUCCUCUAGUCAGACUCAAAAUCCAUCAAGUCACAAAGAUUCAACACAAAAGUUCAGAUGGGCAGAUUACCCAGACAGUCAAGAUACUUAUGAUCUCAAUGAAGACUAGUAAAAGCAGGAAAGCAUAUGUAAAAGAAAGCAAAAGCAAAACUUAGCAUGAUUCCAAGCCCCGUGCCUCCACAGUUAUAUUCCCUGAAAAAGAAGAAAGGAAAAGGUGAAGUCAAGUCCUAAAGCUCCAGUUAAAGCAAAAGCAGAAGACCUGUGCUCCAACAGUAAAAAUUCCAAGCAUCCAAUGUUGCCAGCACUUUUUUGGCUCUUUAUAUAGAGGCUCUGUCCUCAGUUGUAGUCAGAAUGUAAUUUUUAGUUUUCUCAGUUUCAAAGUUUUCUCCGAAUCACUUUCAAAGAAAACUCUAUUUGUAAAAUAUGAGUGCUACUAUCAUUCAAUAAAAUCUUUCAGUCAAGAUUUUCUAUAAGUAUUUUCAUUUACACAUUACUUUUAAUUUUGCAUUUAUUUUAAAUUAUUUCAUUAUGCAUUAUUAUUCUCUCUGCCUCUAGAUCCCUUUUGGUAUCAGAGCCGUAAGUGUUGAAGAGUCAUUCUAAUUCUGCUUCUCUGUUUAAAGCUUUGCUAUUCAAUUAUGUAACCCUUUCAGUGUCUUCCUGUAUACUGUUCAUUUUAUCUCAACCCAAACAAUGAGUCCUAGAUUCCAAACAAUAAGUCCCAGGGAGAGGCAUGAGCGGAUGCGACAUGAACAGAGAGAGAGAAAACCCUUCAAUCUUCAGGAAUCCUUGAACCUGUUAUAGGAUUAUUAGCUUCCCUUUUUACCCUUUGUAAGAAAACAAAUAAUCUUUGUCCAGAUGAGUCACCUUUUUAGAACAAACUCUUGUAACAGUAGCAAUUUUAGAGCCAGUAUUAGUAAACUCCCAGAAAUAGUCAAUGAAGAACAAAUAGAAUACGAAACUAGUAAUGAAAUUGAUUAUAAAGAUUGGAACAUCCCUAAGAUCCCUAGUACAGAAAUUUACAAGAAGAAAUGGUCACUUUCAAGUUUCAAAAGUACAACCCAUGUAAAAACUAUUGAAAUAAAAAGUCAACGUGAAUAUUUCUUUCCUAGUAUAAAAGAUUGACAGCUACAAUUUAGCAUUCCUAUUCUGGUUAACCACUGAUUCGUAGGAUCUAGAUACAAGGAGAAUUGUAGGUUCAUCUCCUAUAUAUGUUGCUAUACAUUUAGAAUUGUAUAUUGUACAAAUAUAUGAAAUACCAGUUUCUUUACAUGGUACCAGAGCCUCCCUUUUUUCCUUCACCAUAAACAUCAAUGGCACCAGACAACGAUGCCAAACCAGUUGACAGAGAGAAGUCCUCAUCCACAACCGAUAGAGAUGCAUAUGACUCUACCGAUCCCUACUGCAUACACCACUCAGAUCAUCCCAGCAUGGUAUUGGCUUCCAUGCCACUGACCGGUGAUAACUACAACACUUGGAGUUGUAAAGUACGAAUUUCCUUGAGUGCGAAAAACAAAACAGGCUUUAUUGAUGGUCCAUUGUGAAGCCAUCCCUCACCAAAAAACCUAUAGAGUAUCAACGAUGGCAGAGGUGUAACGACAUGAUCUUGUCGUGGAUUCUCAAUUCUUUGGAUCCUGACCUUGCUAAUAGUGUUAUUUAUGCUGAGACAGCUCAUGAAGUCUGGACUGAUUUAAAAGAACGAUUUUCACAGAGCAACGCUCCUAGGAUUUUUCAGAUUCAACGCAGCAUAGCGACACAUACGCAAGAUCAGAUGCCUCUGGCAACAUAUUAUUCAAAACUAAAGAGCUAUUGGGACGAACUCGGUUCCUACAAUGAUACAAAAGUUUGCUCCUGUGGAGCAAAGAAGUCGUUGGCCGAGCGCGAGGAACAACAACGCUUGAUGCAAUUUUUGAUGGGACUAAAUGAAUCCUAUGCAGCGAUCCGAGGGCAGAUUCUCCUUAUGGAUCCCUUGCCAUCAGUUCGAAGGGCAUAUUCCCUACUUUCACAGGAAGAGAAACAACAUGAAAUCACCACAACCCAUGCAAAUACAGAAAGCAUGGCCAUGUUAAGUAUCCACAAUAAGAAAUGGGGUUCUUCUAAACCCGCUUAUCAAUUCCGCUCACAACAAGGAUAUAAUUCACAACAAGGAAAGAACUCACAACUUCGUUCCUCUUUUUGAGGGAGCCAAAAAGAGACUCGACGUUGCACUCAUUGCAAUGGAGAUACUUACACCGUUGAUACUUGCUAUUAUCUCAAAGGGUUCCCUCCAGGACAUACGUGGCACAACAAAGAAGUCUCUCUGCCUGAUAAAGGAAGCAGUUCACACCAAGGAAACCAAAGGAAGUCACAUGCUGCCAAUAAUGUCCAAAACUCAGAUUCACAAGUUCAUAAUCUCCAGUCCAUCGCGCCCCACCUUACACUAGACCAAUGCCAACAAAUUAUGGGCGCCGUAGGUAAAGAAGAUGUUUCACAAACCCAAGUAAAUUUUGCAGGUCUGUCUUCUCCUUCUUGUUUAUUUUCUCAAAAGCAAUCCAAUUUAUCGCAUGCUUGGGUAAUUGAUAGUGGCACUACCGACCAUAUCACUAAUUCACAUGACUUUCUAACUGACACGUCUCCAUCCUCCAUGUCCCCAGUAGGAUUGCCCACAGGGGCUAAAGCACCCAUAAAAUCCACUGGCAAAAUCACUUUUGAUGUUAAUUUGUGUCUAACUGAUGUUCUUUGUGUUCCAUCCUUUAAUGUUAAUUUGAUGUCAGUUCCCAAACUCACAGAGUCACUUAAUUGUUGUGUUGUGUUCUUUCCCAAUUUUUGUUAUAUACAGGACUUGGUUAUGAAGAAGAUGAUUGGAUUGGGUAGGCGGCAUGGCAACCUAUACUAUUUUGAUUCAAACUAUAUUUCUCAGAACCCACCAUCCUCCUCACACCAUGUGUUAUCUCGACAAAAUCUUUGGCACCUGCGGUUAGGACAUCCAUUAGAUGCCCGCCUUCGUAUCUUGGCUCAACAUGAAUAUGAUAUUUUCUUUUCCCAGCACUCCUGUGAUUUUUUCCCAUUGGCUAAACAAACUAGACUCCCAUUUACUUUAAGUUCCAUUUCAAGUAUUGGUUCUUUUGAUUUAAUUCAUUGUGACAUCUGGGGUCCACAUAAAAUUCCUUCUCAUUCUGGGGCAAGAUAUUUUUUGACUAUUGUUGACGAUUAUACAAGGUGCACAUGGGUUCAUUUAAUGCAAUAUAAAUCUGAUACUCAAGGUCUUCUUAAAUCCUUCUUUGCCUUUGUUUCUACUCAAUUUAACAAAACAAUAAAAGGUAUUCGUGUCGAUAAUGGUGGUGAGUUUUCUUCUCUAAAAAUGUUUUUGGCAGAUCUUGGUGUCGUUUACCAACAUUCCUGCGUCUCAACACCUCAACAAAAUGGGGUUGUGGAACGUAAACACCGACACCUUCUAGAGAUGGCUCGAGCCUUGCGAUUCCAUGCACAUCUCCUUCUUAAUUUUUGGGGAGAAUGCGUACUCACUGCUGCAUAUCUGAUUAAUCGUCUCCCCACUCCACUUUUAACUGGUAAAACUCCCUAUGAGCUUUUAUUUAACCGUCCACCCAUUUGUUAACAUCUUCGCAUUUUUGGUUGUCUUUGUUAUGCAACUAAUUUACACCCUUCUCAUAAAUUUGAUAAACGGGCACGUAAAUGUAUUUUCGUGGGUUAUCCUUUUGGUCAAAAGGCUUAUCGUGUUUAUGACUUAGAGAUCAAAAAGUUUUUCAGUAGCCGAGAUGUUAUUUUUCAUGAAAAUGUCUUUCCUUUUGCUAAUCAACAUGAUGUACCUACUAUCCCUGUCUUGCCUUUAACCCCCAAUGAUUAUGAUUAUGAGCCUAUCCACAUAUCAGACCCACUACCCACUUCAUCUUCCCAGUUAAAUCCACCAACCAAACUAGAUAUGCAUCCACCUAGCCCAAACACACACUCUGGCACACCUACACUACCUCUUCCAAAUACACCACCACCUAGUCCACGCACAUAAUCUCGUCCAAAUACACACACCCAAUUUAGCCCCAACACGUAAUAUAAUAUAUCCCCUCAACCUAGUCCACCACUAAGUCCAUCACAUGAUACACACCCACCACCACCGCUUCGACAUUCUGAACGCCUAAAACAACCUUCAGUGCUUCUACGUGACUACCACUGUUACACUGCCAUGUCUCCCUAUUAUGAUUCGUCAUCUUCUUCAAAUACAAAAGGUAAGGGCACCCGAUACCUUAUUUCCCAAUUUCUUAAUUAUCAUAAUUUGUCAUCCACUCACAAAUCUUUUGUAGCUUCCAUCUCUCGAGUUGUUGAGCCAACUACUUUUGCCCAAGCUUCGACUGACCCUCUUUGGCAAGAAGCCAUGGACAACGAAAUUCAAGCUCUUGAGAAAUAAUACUUGGUCCAUAACACCUUUACCUGCAGGAAAACACCCAAUUGGCUACAAAUGGGUGUACAAAGUCAAAUAUAAUUCUAACGGUUCCGUCGAGCACUACAAAGCUCGUCUCGUGGCCAAGGGAUAUACCCAACAGGAAGGCUUGGACUACACGGAGACAUUCUCUCCCACAGCUAAAUUGGUGACUUUCUGAUGCUUGCUUGCUCUUGCCGCUGUACGCAAUUGGCCCCUCCACCAAUUAGACGUCCAAAAUGCUUUUCUUCAUGGAGAUUUAGACGAAGAAGUCUACAUGCUUCCUCCACCCGGCCUUCGCCGACAGGGGGAGCACUUGGUUUGUCGGCUACACAAAUCAUUAUACGGGUUGAAGCAAGCAUCAUGAAAUUGGUUUGCCAAGUUCACCAAUGCCCUUCAAGAUGCCGGAUUUGUCCAAUCCCUGGCAGAUUAUUCACUUUUCACAAGGUAUCACGAUAAUUCAUUUACCAUUAUAUUAAUUUAUGUAAAUGAUAUUGUCAUUACAGGGAAUGAUCCUAAGGCAAUUCAGUCUCUUAAGGAUUUCCUCCAUGCUCGCUUCCGCAUAAAAGACCUUGGAAAUCUUAAAUAUUUUUUGGGAAUUGAAGUAGCAAGAUCAAAUAAAAGAAUUUUCAUAUCUCAACGCAAGUACGCACUGGAUAUACUUGACGACGCUGGACUUUUGGGUGCUCGCCCUUAUUCCUUUCCCAUGGAGCAGACGCUUAGACUCAACCCUACUGAUGGCAAACCACUACAAGAUCCUACCAGAUACAGGCGAUUAGUAGGUCGCCUCAUUUAUCUCACAGUAACGAGGCUAGAUCUCUCAUUUGCUGUCCAUGUGCUUAGCCGUUUCAUGCAUGAGCCGCACCAACCUCAUCUAGAUGCAGCUCUUCGUGUACUACGUUAUUUGAAAGGCUCUCCAAGAGAAGGCAUUUUAUUUCCUACGACAAAUUACCUAAAGUUAAAGGCAUUUUGUGACUCAGAUUGGGCAAGUUGUCCAACUACUAGGAGAUCUGUCACAGGUUAUUGUACUUUCCUUGGUGAUUCUUUGAUUUCUUGAAAAACCAAAAAACUAAAUACUGUGGCACGUUCCUCUACAGAAGUAGAAUACCGAGCUAUGGCAGAUGCAUGUUGUGAGCUCACAUGGUUACGUUACAUCCUCAAAGACUUAGGCAUUCAACAUUUAGAACCAGCAGUAUUGCAUUGUGAUAAUCAAUCAGCCCUUUAUAUUGCAAAGAAUCCAGUAUUUCACGAGCGAACGAAGCAUAUUGAUCUUGAUUGUCACUUGGUGAGACAAAACAUUCAAUCAAGCUUGGUGUCUACUGCCUACACGCCAACAAAGAUGCAGAUUGCUGAUAUAUUUACUAAACCCUUGGGCAAGGUUCCUUUUGGUUCAUUAUUAGGCAAGUUGGGAGUAUACAACAUACACUCUCCAACUUGAAGGGGCGUAUUGAAAUAAGAAGUCAACGUGAAUAUUUCUUUCCUAGUAUAAAAGAUUGACAGCUACAAUUUAGCAUUCCUAUUCUGGUUAACCAUUGAUUCGUAGGAUCUAGAUACAAGGAGAAUUGUAGGUUCAUCUCCUAUAUAUGUUGCUAUGCCUUGAGUAAAGAACACGGAACAUGUCAACUUUUAAACCUUGAGUCAAUAAAGAAACAUAAGAGUGAUGGAAACAAUUUCCUUCACAUUGGCCUCGUUCAAGUAGCAGUCAAACCCGUUACAAGGUUAGGACUAAAUGCCUCUAUUUUACUUUGCCUACGUGAUGCUAGAUUUACCAACUUUAGUGAUAGUACCUUAGGAAUAAUUGAGUCAAGCUUGUUUAAUGGUCCAAUUCACUUUGAUUGUUACCCAGACUUCACGAUAAGCCUAAGUGAUCCCCACAUAUUAAAAAAUCUAACAUUAAACAUUAAAACUUUAGGGUAUAAAGUCUUGCCAGGUAGCCAACCUCUAGCUUUAGUCCAUAUAAUUUAUUAUAAAGUCACAGGAACUAAUAUGAAUUUCCAAGCUCUUAAUAAAAGCCCAAAAGACCAAACCUUGCUUAUUCAAAGUAGUAAAGCUGAUGCUAAUAUAAGAGUUCCCCAUACAAUUAAGUGGUCAGAAGUAACCUUACUCCUAGAUUGGACAUUAUCAACAUAAAAUCAACCUUGAUCAUUUCUUAUAUAUAUAUAUAUAUAUGCACUUUUAUUCUUAUUUACUGGUGAAGAUCCUUUAUCGCCGUGCAUGCGUUUUGGAAGAGAGUGGUCUAGGAAGGAAAAAAGGUCCUGAUUGAGUUUGUGUUAUAUGCUAUAUUGGGAUUAUGCGAUAUCUUAGUUUUAAAGUCGAUUUUGUUAUAUAAAUAUGUAUAUGGGUAUUUGUGUGAGUACAUUUGUGGACUUGUUUCCAGGUUGAGUUUUCUGAGCAUGUGCAUUGAGACUGCUCUACACAGGUAUGGAUUUUUGAAAUGAGGUUUGGAUUUCAGAUUGGCUAUUUGCAAACAAUUAUUUGACAUUUUAUGUUUGCAAGCAUAUGCCUAAGAAAGGGGAUGGUUGCAGAAGAAAAAGGAUAUUUUGGGUUUUGAUGUUUAUAUUUUACAUUAACAGAAUUAUUUUGGAAGUUUCAAUUAUAUGGUAUUACAAUAAAGACUAAAUGAUUAUGUUCGUGUUUUCCAAAAAAAGUGAGAAGUAUUAAUUAAAUGGAUUACUUUAUUGUAUAUUUUGUUAUAAGUAUACUAAAUUGGACUAUUUUCAAGUAUGUAUAUAUGUACACAUACAAGGGAUUUGGUUGGUUGGCAUUAUUUUCUAAAACAGAGGGGUUAUUUAUGUUGCAUAUAAAUUAUGUUAAACACUUUGUUUUCAUCCACUUACAUUUUAUGUUUUGCGGCCCCCAGGUUCUAGAUAUCCAAGGUCGAGACCACCAUGUCAAGGCAUCGGGACUGCUCGCUCUGUAGGAACUUCUUCUUUAUCUUUUUCCUACUUUCCUUCUUCCCGGGUUAUAAAUUAAAUCUUUAGUUGUUCUGGUUUCUCGUAUAAGUUUGGGUAGGGUGCGUGAGGCCCAUUUCCUUAAUUUUAGUUGUUGUGUGUGCCAUUAUCUUGUGCAUGCUGAAAAUUGGGGUUAUUUCUGUACUUGUUUGCAAGUAUUGUAAUUUGGGAAUUGUUCCAAUUAUAGGGAAGAUUCUGCCAAAAUUUCAAUAAAAGUCGAACUGUUUAUCCAUUUAAAUUAGGGCUACAUGGCUUUUUAGUAAUGCAGGUCCGGCACUGGGUAGAUGUCGGAUGGGAAGCAGAGUUCGUCACUAUAAUUCACGCUCAAGUAUGAUUUUCUAUAUUUGAAAUCCUUUUUCUGAUUUUGAAUAGCUUUUCUAAAUCUUCUUCAUAGAAAAAAAAAAUCCAUAUGUUGUCAUACAUCAAUUGAAGAGAUGACAUAUAAUACACCAAAGGGAAGAUAUUCAUCUUGGCCUUACUCAGGGGAUAAACGAAAAAAGGGGUGAAAUAAUACACAUGACUGACUAAAUAACUAGAAAGGGCGAUUUGAGAAAUAUUAGACGAUUUUUGGUCAGUGCCAUACCGAUGUCCCCCAUUUUCCAUUUUUUGGAAGGUUAUGGAAGACUUGGUUAGUCACACUGACCUAGUUCAAACAAUUGUUUGACCUCAACCUCAAAAGGUUAUCUCGCUGUUUAGACCAAAUUCAGGCAUCAACAACUUAUAUGGUGUCAUUAUUGUUUACUCAACUUGAGUUAAGCGUGGAUGUUUAGAUUUGAAGUAGAGAAUUAAAUUUUAACAUACUAUGAUUUCAUAUAAUUUAAUAAGAAAAAUACUUGCGUCCUUCCCUAGAGGUAGGAAUUCCUACUGUCUUGUCUAUCAUAAUUUGACAUGUGUGUAGAGAUUUAUAUUUUUAUAUUUUUUAUGAAUUAUUUUUGAAUAUAUGUAGUGUGAUUUGUAGGAAGUAAGAAUGUCUCUUUCUUAGGAGGGAAGCAAUGUCUAUUAAAUAACAUCUUUAAUGAAAUAGUCAACAAAUUAAUUUUUUUAGUAACUUCCUGAUAGAGUUUGUUAUUUAAUUUUUAUUUUAAAUUAAUCUAAUCUACAGGAAGGAAAAUUUAAACCUUGAUGCAAUUCAUUGCUCUGGCCAACUGAACUAUUUCAUAUUUGUAUUUUCACGGAGUUUAGAGCUGUUGUUAAAGUAAGUGAAGAGAUGACACAAAAUCGAAUAUGAGACGGAGUGGCCACGGACGUUUUGGGUACAGCAAAUCUUUACCGUCCAAAGAGUAGGCAGCUCUCAACCAAAAGCCAUUUAUUUUGACAAAUAAAAAAUCAUUAAUACCAUUUUCCAGAUCUUGAACAAACAAACAAACAAAUCAUGGUACGGAAAAAAACUCACUACUCCAAAACGAGAACAAACUCUGUUUGCACAGGAUUGAAUAAAAUGACACAAACACCCUCACUCCUCCAACGCUUAAGUCAUGUAAUGUGCGGAGAAACGCAACCGAGAUCAAAGGAUAUAUUCGUCCUUUUAAGGAAGUUCAAAAAUAGAAAGUGCCACUUCCUUCUCUCUCAGAUUUCCCCAUUAAGUAAAAAACGAUAUUUUAUUUUAAAUAAAGUAAUAAAAGAACAUGAAAAGUAACAAAAUUCGAAAAAAUAAAAUAAAAUCGCUGCCUUCACGCUCCGUCUCUGAUCUUUCUCCCUCUCUUUCUUUCCCAACUUUCCAACACAAAAAGCACAUUCUGUCUCUCUUUCAUUGAUUUCCUUUUCUCUCCUUUCUGGAAACCCUAAGUGACCUGGUUUUUUUUUUUUUUUUUUUUUUUUCAUUAACCAGGUCCUCAGAGGAGAGAACUUAAUUUUUUUUUUUUUUUUUUGGGGUAGAAAAAAAGUUGCAGGCUUUUUUUUUUUUUUUUUUUCGCAAAUUGUAGUGUCUAAGUUGCAUUGCUCAGCUGCCCUCGACAAUGAACGACCUGCUAAAGGUAAUUUACUUUUGUAUUGGUCCAUUAAUUUACGCCGUGGCUGGUUUGUUUCUACAUUUUUGGAGUUUUUCAUGUUCUGUUUUUGUCAUGAUCCGGCCCUCUUUGAUGUUAUUGGAUCUGCAUUUUUAAACGAGUAUUUUGAACUUUUGGAUUAUGGGAUUUUGUUUUUGGGUUGUCUUUGUUUGGUUGUUGAGAAAAGGAGGGAAAGUAUAGGAAAUUGAAAGUUUUAGAAAUAGAAUCAUGAGAUUUUGCGUUGUCUGGAGAUCCCUCCUGAGGAGAAUGUAGUUUGCUUGACUACAAGUGUUUGGUUUACUUCAUUCUAGCUCAAACAGCAUGAACUAGUAUAGACCAGCAAAAAAAAAAAAGAAGGAAAAAGUUGAUUUCUUUUCCUCCUUUUCUUCUUAUAUUCGGUUUGUGAGCUAUCAAAAAUAAUGGAUCUGCAUUUCUGUUUGAACCUAAUCUUUCUAAAUUAAACUUUGAUGUUAUAGUUAAUGAGAAGUACAUCUCUUUGUCAUUUUUGGAAUUAUGGUGUCGGUUUUUAUGAAUGUUGUCAUAUUGAUAAUUUGAAGUUGGAGUUUAAACAAUUAAAAAGGGAAACAAGGAUAUGAAUGGAAGUUUUCAGACGAGUAUAUACUUUUACAAAUGCUGAACGGAAGAACACUUUACAUAACUGGAUUUCAUUAGUGAUUGAGGCUCGGUUUUUCCUUGUAUAUCUGGAUGGGAUUUCCUUGUUUAUACUACUGAACAGAUACUAGACCGUGUCCUUAAAAAGAUAAAUAGCGGUGUUACAAUUUGGUUGCAUAAUUCUCCAGCAUAUAUAAUGUGUGUGUGUGUGUGUGUAUAGAUAUAAUUUUUUUUUUAAAAUUUAUUUAUUUCUGUUUGUAUAUAUUUCCAUAGAGUUCAGUGGCGAAAGGAUCCAUUCAAUUGAACUCAAGUAAUCUGGAUUACUGUGUUUUAGAGUUAAGUUCCUUGUCUGUCUGACCUAUUUACUAAUAUAAAACUUGCAGGAUUCUUUUGAGAUCCCUCGGGGUCAAGCAUCUAGAGAUGGAGAUAUCGAACUAGGAACAAAUGGUUCAAUGAAUUCUGGAGAAUUUGGUUUGGAGAAUUUCUUUAAAAAGGUUCAUUAGCGUUCUUGCAUCCUUUUCUUCUAUUUCCCUUGAAUACAUGCAAACGUGAUUAUUUUAUUUUGCUUCAACUUUUCCUUUACAUAAGUAUGGAAUUUAAAAUAUGUUUAUUUUGUGUUGCUUCUGUCUAAUGAUUUCAUGAUUUUUGCCCCCAGGUUCAAGAGAUUGAGAAGCAAAAUGAGAAGCUUAAUAAGCUCCUGAAAAAACUCCAGGUAUCUAAUGUUUUUCGUACAUUGCCAGAACCAUGACAGUCAGUUUGAUACUUCCAGCCUGUUAGUAUUUUCCAAAUCAUUUCAUGAUCAUGGUUCCUAAUGCGUGGGUUAUUUUCUCUGAUUUUUAUAAAUUUAUUACUCUGAACUAGGAGUCAUUUUAGUGUUGCGCUUAUGAAUGUAGCUGUUAGAUUUAGUUGAGAUCAAUUUAUUUUUCCUAGUAGCUUGAAAAAUUGAGUCCCAUUUUUGUUUAGUGUUGUUGUCUUUGGAAUUAUGUGUUUGAUGCCAGUAGAUGGUGGUUCAAUGAUAUUGUAAUUGCAAUUGUAGGUAUAUAGAUAGGAAGGGUCUUCAUUUGGGAAUUUUAGUUAUAAGGUGAUGAACAAAUGUAAAAACAAGGAACCCAAACAUAUACAAUGUUUAGAAUUGUAUAGCAACUAGACCAAGCUUUGCUUAUUUGCAUGCCAAUGCAGCAUCCAGAUUUGUAAUUAAGUAUUGUAUAAACUAUUGUUUGAAAAUAUUGUGUUAGCUUUUAUUUGCCUUACACAAUAACAUAAACAAUUAGAAAGUGUUUUAAAAAAAAAUGAGUCUUUGAGAUAUAACAUGCAGUUUUAUGUAAUUUCGUUAUGAAAUUUGUAUGCAGGAUGCACAUGAGGAGUCCAAGGCUGUGACUAAGGCUCCUUCAAUGAAAUGUAAUCUCGAACUUGUUGAUUUCUUUAUAAAAUGCACUUUUAUGUAAUUUGUUGGUAAAUGUUUGGCAUUCUCAGUUUUGUUUUAACUGCUAACUUCUUAAAAAGAUAGCAUAUACAUGUGCUUAUUUUUGUACUCAAAUAUGCUUUUUUGCGGACAAGUGGAUUUAAUAAAGGGGAUAGAUCACACCGAUAAUUUUUUAUGGUGUUAUCUCGUCUGUUUGCAUUCAACAACUUAAAUUUGAUUUCUUCCUGAUUAAGUCUUCACUGAUGAUGGAUCCUUUCAUCACAUGCAGCAAUCAAGCAGCGGAUGGAGAAAGAUGUCGAUGAAGUUGGAAAAAUUGCUCGUUGGAUAAAGUCAAAAAUUGAAGAACUUGACAAAGAGGUUUAACCUGAUUCAACAGAUAGCUGCUUUUAAUUAUGUGAUCAGAAGUAAUUUUAAUUGCUCGUCUGACUGACCUUUCCUUCUGGGUCCAGAAUUUAGCAAAUAGACAAAAGCCUGGGUGCGGAAAAGGAACAGGUGUAGAUCGAUCCCGAACAGCAACAACCCUGUAAGUUGCUAAUAGUUUAGUGAUUGGCCAGAAAAGUAAUCAUUUUGGUGUUCUUUGUUGUUUUAUUAUACAUUAUAGAAGUAUUGCCUCUUGUGGAUAAUCUAUUGAUCAUUGUGGUUUCCUCUUAUAUUGUUAUUCUAUAGAUGUGUAUUUCAUUUGAUUUGAUUGUUAUGGGCAAAUGUUGCAGUGUUGCAGUAUAGUUCUACUUUUCAAUAUGGCUUAUCAUUUACCGGUGUAUUCUUUUUGAUUUUAAAGAUUGUUCAACCACAACUUCAUUUAAGGGGUUUGCUUUUACUUAAUCAUUAUAAGAACAUGUCUGCAUGGAACUCAAAAGUCUGACUUAAUGGGAUUGUAUUUGUCAAUCAACCGAAUCUGACUUUGUCAAGUGUCCAUUGCCAUCUAUUGUUACAGUGCCUUGAAAAAAAAAUUAAAGGACAAGAUGGCUGAAUUUCAGGUAGGUCACGUACACACAUUUUCUUAUAAGAUUAGUGUUUUAAUCUUGUUUUGUUCAUCUUCUAUUAUAUUCUCUCAAUUUUUUAUUUAUUUAAAAUAUGUAGACUCUAAGAGAAACCAUCCAUCAAGAGUAUCGGGAGGUUGUCGAGAGGCGAGUUUUUACAGGUUUGAACCUUUCACUUGUCACUCAUAUGUGGCUAUUACUUCUGAAACUUGAUGCGCCAGAUUUCUCAUGACCUUAACAAAUUUUUUAUUUCUCUUGCUUUUUGUGAUUAUCAGUAACGGGCACAAGAGCUGAUGAAGAGGUGAAACUUUUUGCACUGUUAAAAUUCCAGUAUAUCUACACCAUUGUAAAACCUCGUGUUCUAAUUAGUUAUCAAUGUACAGACAAUUGAAAGAUUAAUUGAGACAGGAGACAGUGAACAAAUUUUUCAAAAGGCAAUCCAGGAACAAGGACGAGGCCAGGUUUGUCAUUUUUUUUGUUGUUACCUUCUCUUCCCCUAAUUGAGCACGUUUAACUAUCAAAAUUGGAAAUUUUGAGAACUUAAGCAAUUUAUUUUUAUUUUUUUGACAUAUCAAACAAUUUAGUCCAAACUGCAAUCUCAUCUGCUGAAGUUGUUAGCUUGGUCUAAUGAAUCAUCAGAUUUACUAAUUUGUAUUUUCUUUUUCCUUUUUCUCAUUUUUUUACUUCUCCUUUUUGUUAAAGUGAAAAUUAUACGUUUGGGAGAUACCAUGAGCCACUAACCAAUGAUGGUUAAGAUUGAUCACAUCUGAUUUCAAUAUUCGUGUAUCAAAUUGUAGAUAAUGGACACUCUGGCAGAGAUUCAAGAGCGCCAUGAUGCGGUUAGAGAUCUUGAGAGGAAGCUUCUUGAUUUACAACAGGUAUCUUAUUAGUUUGUGCAAUCAUGCUUACUAUUUGAUAAAAAUAUCAAGUUGCUAUAUAAUGCAUAUGUCUAAAUUUUAAAGUUUGCUUUGCCAUGUUGAUUAUAUAGAAUCAAACUGUUGAAUCUUGCUUCAUGGUGUUCUGUAAGAAUGUGUAGGAUCAGUUUGAUCCUGAGGUUGUCUCAUGAUGUGUUGAGCCUGUGCUUAGUGGCUUAUAAAACCAUGUUAUGUUCCACUUUUAAUGCCGUAAUUUGAUCACGUCUGACCUGGAGAAUAGCCCAACAGCCUUGAAAAGGGCUUGACAUACAAUUAAAUGGAAUCUUUUCCGAUCAAAUGGUAUCUUGAGGGGAACCUUGUGGAUUUACAAUGGGUGUCUUGUUAGUUUUGAAUCUUGCUUUAUGGUAUUUUGUAAAAAUGUAAUGGAUCAGUUUGAUCAUGUAUUUGUCUCAAAAUGUUCUGAGCCUGGGCCUCGUCAUCUUCCUCUUGGAGCUAAGUGUAUGUCCACUUUUAAUGCCAUAAAAUUGCUUUUGGGACGCCCUAGUAUGAUAUAAGAGAUGCAUGCCCGAUUGUCCAUAGAUACUUGGAUGUGUAAAAAAUGAAAAGGAAAUAGCAUUGCUAUUUGCAUACUGCCCAUAAUAGUUGAUAAAAUUUGGAAAUAUAUGUUAAAAACCAUCUCUUUUGCACAGAUAUUUCUGGAUAUGGCGGUGUUGGUGGAUGCACAAGGGGACUUACUUGACAACAUAGAAACCCAGGUAUUUUACCAGAAUCUCAAAGCAUGAGGAGGCCCCCACGAAUCUCUCAAAAUUAUUAAACAGAAAAAGAAGACAUGAGUUUGAAAAAUGACAACUGCUACUCUUGCAUCAUACUUCGGCAAAUGAUAACGUAAUUUGUCUUUACUUUCUUUCUCAAGGUAUCGAGUGCAGUAGAUCAUGUACAGCAAGGGAAUACAGCUCUUCAGAAGGCGAAGAAGCUACAGAAGAGUUCCAGGAAAUGGAUGUGCAUUGCAAUCCUCAUCCUUCUCAUCAUUGUUAUAAUCAUUGUGGUGGCCGUGCUCAAGCCGUGGAAUAGCAACAAGGGCGCUUAGCUCUAGCAAUUUGUACUUUGUAAGUAUAGUGUAUUACAACUGACCCCUCUGGGACUCCAGCAAAUCACAUGAAUAAUUUGCGGUUCGUUUUACAAACGUGGUUUCUAGCACUUUUAUUAUCCUAUGAUAAUGAGUGUGCAUGUAACACUAUUAAUUUGAAGAAACUGUCACUAUAUUCUUUAAUAUACAUAAAAUAAAAAACUUUAAAUCAAUUUUUUGUUUUCGUUCAGUCUAACUGAGUUAUUCUGAUCAUCGCAUGGAGAAGUUAGUUUUUUUUUUUUAAUAGACGAACAAACUUAGAGAGAGCAUCCUCUAAGGAUCUCUAAAUUUCUACAAUCAUACGUUUAAUUUUUAUCAAAUCAUAGCAAGCCAAAUACAAGUAUUACUCUUAUCACGACCAAUGUCACCAAGUUCACGUCUGCUUCUCUAUAAACAUGCCUUAGUUGAUUUAACUUGCAAAUUUAGCAUGAGUUCCUUGAUGUCAUUCAGAUGUGAAUAGUCUUCAAGGAGGACCAUAAUCUUUAUCAUUUAGAAUGAAUAAUCCGUUUCCCGAACUGCACAUUUCCAAAGACAGAGGAGCCGGAUCCUUAUUGAAGAGUAGCUAAAAUGUCAGGCUUAAUAAGGAAAUAUGAGUAGCUAAAUGAUUUCCUAAUUGGCAUUGGUGGUUGUUGUAGGGAGGCCAAAUCCAAAUGGGAGAGGAUCGUAAUGCUCAUCUCCAACAUUCAUAGGGAGCUGAUUAACGGUUUUGAACCAAGUGCGAGAAAGCUUGCUAGUAAAACCAGUCACCUAAUAAAAAAUAGCUACUCCUUGGCCUUCAGUUCAUGGAAGCCAAGCUGCAACAAGAGCAUCAAUCGAAGCAACAUAGGGUUGAAUCACAAUAGGAUGGCCGGAGCUGACGAUAACAAAGCAUUUCACAGCACCACAAACAUUAGUGAUGGUGCUCGGGCCGGGGUCGGGGAAUGUCAAAUUUAAGCUGUCACCAAAUGUCUCCGCAUAUGGAUGUUCUCCGACUACAACAAUGGCAUACGAGAAAUCAUUUCACUUUGCUAAGUCAGCGUCAGGAUUCUCCAUGUAGACUAACUUGGGAUUUUGGAUCCACUGUAUUAUCCUUGCAGGUUCUUGAAGCUUGAGCCAGCAGCCUUUCAGGCAUUUCAUGGGUUUUGAUAUGCUUACAUUGCUGUAUACAGAUUUGCAAGAGAUGCUGGGAGGAUUGAUUUGGAUGGAAUCGUUGAGAGGCUGGGUGUGCUUUUGGUUGAAAGAGUGUAAGGGUUUGGAGGGAGGUCUGAGGCGCAUUGACUCAUGACUAAGUGGUUUCACUCAGUUUACUACAACAGAAAAGCCACUCCAUGGCACCUUAAAAACACUGAAAGGCAGGCGUAGUGAUUGGAUAGUUCAUAAACUUGAUUUGUAAACUUGUAAAUACUUGUUAAUGCUGAAGUGUUGCGACACAGAUGUGACCUUCUGAUGUUUUCAUGUGAACCUUCAAACCUUCUAUUAACCAUUAUUAGAGCACUCCUUAUGCACAUGCAAUCAAAUCCAAUUUCAAGUGCAUAUGAGAUGAGCAAGUCAGCUUAGCUUGCAUAAAGAAAUUCUAGAGAUACCAAAUAUCAGAUAUGCUAGCAAGAAGAAAGCAGUUCCAUU
rnacentral:lncRNA from 1 species